CAUGGCAGUGACGUCAGGCGUCAGGGAGCGAACCCGGCCCCUUCCCCACGCGCGCGCGCGCGCGCACACUCACACACAGAGACAUGCACACGCGCGCGCACAGCCGAUCUCCCUCAGACACACUGGAGGGAAAGGUCAAACUAAAGGCGAGAGAGCGGAGAGACCGGAGGGAGCUGCUGCCGCCGCCGCGCGCCAUGACGGACGCGGCGGAGGCUGCUUUCCCUUUGCGGACGCCGCCGAGCCUCUGCUCUCGCCGCGCCCCCUGCCCCCCGCGCGCCCCUCUACCCGGCGCUGGCGCGUCCCCGCGCCCCCUCCCCCGGCGGCUCCAGGCGCGCGUCGGGCCUGGGGAGCAGGGUGCCGGGAGCGGGAGGGUGGGGGCCGCGGCGGGCGGGCGGCCUCCUCGCGCGACCCCCGACCCCGGGCCAGGUGAGUGCCUUGGGGCGGGAGAGGGUGUCCGGAGCGGAGAGGACACCCGGCGCUCAGCCCCCCGCCUGACCCCCUUCCGGGGGCGCUGACAGGCUCUCGGGACACGGCCUCUGGGGGGCGUCGUGGGGUCACUUGUGUGUCGGGGGUGCUCUUUUGGCGCUCCUGUCCCUCAGGGUAGGGCGCCCGAGUCGUGGGGGCUCGGGGCGGGGGAGUGGGCGCUGUGGUGCGGCCCCGGAGUGCAGCCGCGGCGACCAGGCGUGGGGCGGGCGGCGGGAGGCAGGUGGGCCCCUCCUCGGGGCUCGUGAAGUGCAGGGACCGGGCGAGGGGGCCGCGGGAAGCUUUCGGGAAAUGUUUGUCCGGCAGUUGCAAGAAACUCUGCCCUCGGGACGAGGCGCCUUGCUUUUUGCCCGGGCUGGCGAAAGUGGCAGAUUUCACGGCAAAACUCGGGUGAAGCCAGGUAGGACCGGCCGGGAGGGAGAGGGGCAGGGAGCACCCGUCUGGAUGGGGACCAGAGAUGAACGAAUCCGCCUGUGGGUAGCACCAGGGCAUGAUGUGUGCACGUUGCCAUGCCAGUGUUUAAUGUUUGUUGCUUAUGGUUAUUUUAGGACUAAAUGAUAAAAAAGUUACUUGGGACAGAGGGAACUGCUUGAUUUGACAUGAGUUCUUCCCUUGUGUCUGCAGGAAAUAGGUUAAUCUUGUACACACACUACUGAAAUUAUGUCCAGAGGACUUUGCAAAUAAUAUACACAAAACUCUAAAGCCCUGAAGCAAGGUGACGUGUGUCUGAAGAGUUUCAGGUGUCAGGCUCCGUGUUCCCUGGGAACAAAAUCGGAGGACACCGAAGUACUUGAUAUGCCCAGGCAGUCAUCUUUUUGUAAUAAGCUUUGGAUCCCAUCAAAGUGGAGUUUAGUUGUAACGGCCAGGGUUAAGUAAUCGCAUUGACCCAGUGCCACCCACCAGUUUGAAGCUUUUCUGAAAGUAACUUACCAGACAAUCCUGGGCUGAUUGUGAGUAACCAAUGCUUUUGCUGAUUUUUUUUUUCUUUUUAAUUUUCCACUGUCAUAAUGUAUAUGUGUGCUACCUGUUUAUCAAACUUAGAAUGAAUUAUCCAUACUUAAACUCUCCACUAAAUCACUUUGAAAUUAUCAGGUAGUAGCUUUGCCAUAAUAUGUCUUUUAAAAAAAAACUAAAUAUUUGUUGUCUGGGAAUGACCGAUGUAAUGGUUUCACACUGAAAGGGAUUUUUUGAGCUUAAGUCUAGCGUAAACGUUAUCCCAAGUGGAUGUGUUUGAAAAUUUAAAUCUCAUCUAAGAAAACUUACUGGCUUGUGAAAGGCGCAGGAUUGUGGUGAUAGCUGAGGAAAUGCCAGAGAGAAUUUUUGGUGGAACGUAAGAGAACAACCUGUGAAUUUGGUGUUAACCAGCAGUCCCAGCAUAUAAACACUUGCUCCUUACCUAAGCAUUUCUGAUAUGUUGGUGCUUUUUCUGUUGAUGUUGUAUCUUUGGUUAUUUGUCAUUUUCAAGAAGUUUCCUGGACAGAGGAUCCUCACUUUGAAAUUGAGUCCUUGUAGCAUGUAGCUGGGAUACCAAAAGUUUCCAGUACCAGAUGUAGGGAAAGAUCAGUUCAGCUGGGAUCUUGUUAAUUUUUUCUGUGCAGCUAGUUUUGUGCUGUGAGGUCUCUUUUACAUCUUGCUCCUAUUGGCCAUAGCUGGCAUAUGUCUGUAUACAAUCCUUUAAUGGGGUACUUAAUUGUUACAACCUGAAAAUAAUAUUUCUUGUAACAUAUCAAUAAUUUUUUUUUCUCUCUCUUCUCUCUUUUUCAAGGGAACUGUAGAAUUGGACAAAUCAACACUUAGCAUAUCCCCCUACGGUAGGUCCUGUUGACCUUGGUGCCAUCAUGGAGGUCAUACGUUCUUGGAGAUAAACCGUUCUUGAGCAGUUUACUCCAGGUGUUAAAAACACAUGGGAAAGUGAUUUGGGCUAUGCAUGUCUUGGUUUUUUAAAAAUCUUUUUUAUUGAGCAUUUAUUAUCAUUGCCAAAAAUAAAAUCAUUUACUCUUUCUGGAAAUACUAUACACACAUUGAUACAUUACAAUUUUAAGAAUCGCUUGUUCUUCCACUUUCCUGGUAUUGCUUGUAUAUUCUACCACAGAAGAACAGCUCAUUUUUUGGGUGACAUUUUUGGAGCUUGCCUGAGGGGCACUAGGAAGAACAGCAGUAAUGCUGGUGUGAAUGUUUUAGCUUAUGACAACAGCCAUGCUCUACUUUAAGAAAUUUGACAUUUAAAAGUUUAAGAUUACAAAACAAAGUUAUUAGUAGUUGUUUAUGUUAUAUGAGAAUUUUACAAAAGGGAUUCACUGGCCGGGCACGGUGGCCCACGGCUGUAAUCCCAGCACUUUGGGGGGCUGAGGCAGGUGGAUCACGAUGUCAGGAGUUCAAGAACAGCCUGGCCAAGAUGGUGAAACCCUAUCUCUAAUAAAAAUACAAAAAUUCGCUGGGUGUGGUGUUGGGCACCUGUAAUCCAAGCUACUUGGGAGUCUGAGACAGAGAAUUGCUUGAACCCAGGAGGUGGAGGUUGCAGUGAGCCGAGAUUGUGUGACUGCACUCCAGCCUGGGCAACAGAGCGAGAUUCUGUCUCAAAAAAAAAAAAAAAAAAAAAUCUCAUGAUGUUUUUAGAAAGUUUACGAAUUUGUGUUGGACUGCAUUCAGAGUUGUUCUGGGCUGUGGGUUGGACAAGUCCAAUUUAAGGAGUACAUUGAAGCCUCAUUAAAAUGCUUUUCACCAUUGAGUAAAAUUUUAUGAUCAGGUUUGUCAGAAACCUCAUCCAAGGUGGUUUAGUUAGUGGAGUAUCAAAAGCACCUUGUCAGACUCUCUCACUAGGACAGUGGCCCCACAGCAGAGGCCAACAAGUAGUUACACCCAGACUUUAGCAAAAUCAAAAUAAAUAGAUUUGGUCUAAAGUCCAUGAGCAGUAAAAACCGUUACCUUGAAAUUUUCUGUAGGUGCAGAUUAUUCUUCAGAAUUAAAGGCUUGAUUUUCCUAAGCUGUAAUUCUGUUUGAGUCACUUGUGAAAAAUGCUAUUUUGGUAAAAGAACAACUAUGUACACUUUGAAAGGAGAUUUUUUCCUUUUGUGUUAAUGCAUUUGCGUUUAUUUGGAAUUGCAGAGAUGAUGAAUGAAGUACUUGGUAAGUUUAAUUCAGAAAUCAUUUUGCUUUGCUUAUGUAGGAAAAAAAAGGAAUGUGAGUUAAUAGGAGAAUUUAUUUGUGGGUUAGUUCAUACUUCAUAUGGGGAAAGGAGGAAAGGGAGGAAGUAGCCACAAACUUUAUUAAGGAUAACUAAUCAAGUUUCGUUUGAUUUAUGCCAUUCAUGCCUGCCUUGUGUAAUAGUGACACCAUCACCUUUUGUUUUUUUUUUGAGAUGGACUCUUGCUCUGUUGCCAGACUGGAGUGCAGUGGCUAGAUCUCAGCUCACUGCAACCUCUGCCUCCCAGCUUCAAGUGAUUCUCCUGCCUCAGCCUCCUGAGGGGCUGGGACUACAUGUGCGUGCCACCACGCCCAGCUAAUUUUUGUAGUUUUAGUAGAGACAGAGUUUCACCAUGUUGGCCAGGAUGGUCUCCAUCUCUCCAUCUCAUGAUCUGCCCGCCUUGGCCUCCCAAAGUGUUGGAAUUACAGGCGUGAGCCACCACACCCAGUCGAGAAAUUUUAUUCUUAAAGAAGGGGUUUGAAGGAUAAGAGCUAAGCAUCAGGGCAUAUAUGAAGUAAAAAAUAUCUUCAGAAUGCUUAAUAGUGUUUUGUUAUGUUAUUACAUUAGACAGAAAGCAAGAAAUUAUUUUUAAUACUGAAUAUGGGUCAAAAGCCCAACUUUGGGAUACUAGGCACAGUUUCAUUCCUCUUAGCAUAGUUGAAUAUUAUAAAAAUGGAAGGAACAGCUUGAAUGGUGCCAUUGAUUUUUUUAGUACAGGCUUUUAGUUCCUCAAUUGAACAAAUGAGUAAAAAUGAAGAUUAAAGAAGAAAUAUUAAAAGAAUUGUUUUCCAUUUUUAAAAAAAUCCUAAGGGACUGUCUCAAAUGAUUACUAAUUUCAGAACAUAGUGAGAUUAAAAAGUACAUUGGAUUUAUGAUUAAUGAGGAGAUAAUUACAAUUUUAAAAAAAGUGAAAAAAGUAUACUACUGCAGUUUACAAAUAUUUGUGCCAAGAUACGUGAGGCUAGUGGUAAUGAUUAGAAAUUAUAAUUGGAAGUUAAACUUGAUUUAUGUUCUCAAUUUCAUUAUUUAAGCCAAUGUCACUUUUAAAAUGUCACUUAAUUUUUCUGUUCCCAGUGUUCUUUUAAUAAAAUGCAAUCAUUAGUACACUGUACUUUAUGUAAACUAGGGUUUCAAAAUAAUGUUUACUAGACUUUUUUUUUUUUGAGAGUCACUCUGUCGCCCAGGCUGGAAUGCUGUGGUGUGAUCUUGGCUCACUGCAACCUCCACCUCUUGGGUUCAAGCAAUUCUCAUGCCUCAUCCUCCCUAGUAGCUGGGAUUACAGGUACCCACUACCACGCCUGGCUAAUUUUUGUAUUUUUAGUAAGACAGGGUUUUACCAUGUUGGCCAGGCUGGUCUCCAACUCCUGACCCCAGGUGUUCUGCCCACAUGGACCUCCCAAAGUGCUGGGGUUAGAGGCAUGAGCUACCCUGCCAGCCAAUUUACCUGACUUAUUAAGUAUAAAAUAUUAUCUAAUAAUAUGUAUGUGUAAGUCCGCUACAUGGGAUUUUAAAAAAGUUUAGAUUUUGUGAUCUGCAGAAAUGUACACAACAGUUUUUAAAAAUAAGAAAGGCUGAGUUCAGGCUGGGUGUGGUGGCUCACGCCUGCAAUCCCAGCACUUUGGGAAGCCAACGUGGGCAGAUUGCCUGAGCUCAGGAAUUCAAGACCACCCUGAGCAGCAUGGUGAAACCCUGUCUCUACAAAAAAUACAAAACAAUUAGCUGGGUGUGGUGGCACACGCCCUUAGUCCCAGCUACUUGGAGGGCUAAGGUGGGAGGAUCACUGAGCCCAGGAGGUUGAGGCUGCAGUGAGCCAAGAUCACACCACUACAGUCCACUGUGGGUGACAGAGUGAGACCCUGUCUCUCUCCCCCUGCUCUCUCAAAACAGAAAGGAGGCCUAGUUCAGAGUUUUAGUCAUGGGUGACCCUGUAAAUUGCAUUUUCUUUUUCUCCCAAAGGGUUUUCUUUCACUAUUACAUUGCAUUUUCUUUUUCUCCCAAAGGGUUUUCUUUCACUAUUACAUGUUUAUAUUUUCCUGAUUUCCACUCAUGCUACUAUUAGGUGUAGGAUCAUCUUAUCUAUAGCAUUAAUACAAAGUUCAUUUGUAAAAACUAUUCUGUUCAUUUUCUCCCUGCUGUUUCAUCUGAAAAAUUGUUUGAAUUUCAGUUACUGAUUGCAGUUUAAUCAGUUAAUCUGAAUAGAAAGGUUACUGCAGUUUUCACAGACUAGGGAAAUAUAAAUUUAUCUUAAGUUUAUGAAUAUUUUUAUAUUCCUGUGGGGACAGUUGAGCACAGUAUGUAUAAUUUAAUAUUUCUAUUGGCAUUUGUUCUAAGCUUAUUUGCUGUAUUGUUAAAAUAAAUAUAGUAGGUGUACAGUUUUUAAAAAACAAAUUUAUUUGUGGAAUAUUUUUCAAAAGUACCUAAAAAACAUGCCCUUAAAUAGAUGAGAUGGAAAUUUUGCUAUUAAAUUGAAUAUGUAGUUAAAUUUGUGAUACUGGUAUUGCUUUGAUUGUUUAUAUAUUACAUACGAGGAUUUUUUAUAUGUUUCUGUGAAACUAGUUUUUUUUCUUAAUUUUGAUUUUUUUAUAUGUUCCUGUGAAACUACUUUUUUUUUUUUCUUAAUUUUGAUUUAUAAAAAGAAGCUUCUCUAAAAGAAAAAAGUCAUUUUGUUCUUAAUGAUUAUAUGGUAGUCCUCAGACCCUGGUAGUGGAAAGAAGUAGAAAUGAGUGAUUUAUUAAGCUCUUUAUCUAAAAUGUCUAGUUGGAGCAUGUGAUGUAAUUUAUUUUACUAUACUGUGGGGAGAUACCUUUAUUCCAAACAAAUUUAUAGCAGAAUUAUUUGCUAUGUUUUGCAAAUUUAGGCAAUCUGGAGUGUGCCCGGAAAUGAACUGUUGAUUGACAAGUGUUUGAUUGAGUAAAUAUCAUAUGGAAAUGGUAUUUUGCUUGUAAUGACAUACUGUUUCUUAUUAAGGACCAUUUCUUAAGUAUGUUCGUAAGUAAAUAUGUUACACAUAUUGGUCAGAUGAUGUAGUGAUAGCUUUAACUUGUAGCAUAUGCUUCUCUCACUACUUUCUCCUUUAGUAAUUAUCAGUAGUUAGUCUUCAGCCAUAUUCUGUGAGAGAACUUUUAAUGCAUGAUAGAGUGCUGCAGGUUUGUUCUUUUCUAACGUUUUAUCUGAUGGAGUAAAGAAAUGAGAACUAUCUGAGAUCAUUGUGUAACUCUUAAUACGUGUUAAGCAUUGUUUUGAACAUUCUUUUCAGUCUAUUUUAUUAUAAGGCAGAUGAUUGUUUAAAAAUUCUUAAGAGUGAGUGAUUAUGUUUCCCCAAAUGCUAGUAGUGGGAGAGAAGGGGAUAAAGGUAAAUCGAAAGAGCAUAACGAUUAGUUUAGAUUGUGUAAAGUAAGGGUAACUGUUUCGUUCUAAAACAUGUUGAGUUAAUCAUUGUAUGCCUUUUCCCUGGGAUUAUAACCUUGUUUUUUAAUUUGCCCUUUUUACUGUGAAGAGUCAAGAGCAGUGAAUUCUAAGAGAGUCAUAUGGACCUCUUUGACCAGUUUUACAUGUUCUUGCUGGGAAUAUUAGGUGAUGGCAGUAAGGAAGAUAAACGGUGUCACGCUAAUGAUCAUUUUUAGUAAUCACAUUUAGAUUUCCACGUUAUAAGGUGGGAGAAUAUUGUUAGGAAAAUUCAAGUUUACCAAUCUUGGAAAAAAUUACAGUUAUGCCAGUUAUAUUCUAUAUCUUACAGCACUGCACUGUACCAGUUUUGAAUAUUCUGUGGACAUAAAUACACUAGUUUUGUCCAGCCAUGAAUUCUGACUUUUAGGUUAGAAAAUGUGAUCAUUUAAACUGUAGUUUUAAUGUGAGUGAAAAAGCUGAUAAUUAAUUUUGUCUUCCUUUUUCUGUAUUAUAAUUUUUUGUCAUUAAUAUUGAAGAUCUCUUGCUAUAUGAUUAGUUCUGUAGAUGACUAUUUCAUCUAUUGGUGAAAAAUUACUAGAAUGAAUUAUUGUACUUGAGCAAUUAGAAUCAUGUUAGGAGAGGCAUGAAGGAAGUAGAACAUAUCUGUGUAGAGAUAGUAAUUUUACUUUCUAAAGCAGUGGUUUUGAAACUUGUGCUGAGAGUGUGCUGGAGGAAGUCAGGCAGUUCAUCCUGGUUCCAACCAGUGCAGUUUUAUUUUGAUUAAUUUUAAGCAUGGGAGUUUGCAUAGGAUUUUAGUUGAGUAGGGUUCUGUUUAAAAAAACACAGUAGCCUCUGUUGUUACCAUAUUUGAUCUUAUCACUUGCCUGCUUAAAUCCUUGCUGUUUUUUUAUUGUUAUUUUGACUGAUAAGACUUUUCUUUACCUAGCUUCUGCUUUAUUCUUUAUCUCUGAUCACUUUCUUUUCCUUUCCAUAUAAACAGUGCAUUCUGGUUCUACUUAAAUUGUUUGAUGUUCCCUAAGAGGAAAAUGUUAUUUUUACAUCUGCAUGCCUUUGCACAUGGAACUGCCACCAGUCUCACUUGAGCGAGGCAGAACUCAAUUCCCUUGAAACCUUGGUCAUCUCUCCAUAAGAGCAAUUAUUACAUUGUUUUGUAACUGUAGCCUCCCUUGAGAGCAGAGACCAUGUGAUGUAUCUUAUAUUCAUCAGUAUUCAAAUGUCUGUUGAAUUACUGCAUUUAGAAUUUGAGAAGUAGUAAAAUUACUUUAAUAAACACUAAUGUGUAUAAAAUAUCCCAGAUCUAGUUCUGUGCAAAAGAGUUUUAGUGACAGUGUCAGACAGUAUGCUAAAUACAUAAAAGACACCCAGUUGCACUUACCAUGAAGUGUCAUAAAGCUAAAAGAUAUAAGAAAAAAUUAUAUUAGGUUCUGGUGGCUUAAGUGAUGUCUCAGAUUCAGUCAUCUGAUCUUAAAAGUUGAUUGUGAAAGCAUUUUAAUAAUAACUCUAUACAGCUUUGGCUGCCUUUGAUAAAAUGUCUUCAUAUGUGAUUAAAGCUAAUGGACUUAAAGGGGCCUUCAAGUGUCAAGAUAUAUAAUACAGCAAUACCGACUCUAAAGAUAGAAUGGAACCAGGAGCUAUCCUGCCUAAAUUCCUGUCACUCUCCUGUUUCUCAGUAGCUGUGUUGUCUGAGGCAAGUUACUUAACCAUUCUGUACCUCAUCUGUAAAAUGAAGACAAUGAUACUAUUACUUUAUAUGGCUGUGAAGAGGACCCAGGAAUUAAUGUAUCUAAAGCACUUGAAAGAAUGCCCGACAUACUGAAAACACUCAGUACAUGUUAACUAUAAUUAAUUUGAAGUGGCUUCUUAUUUAAACAGAUCAAUAUUUAUUGUGCAGCAUUUUCAUCUUUGAAAGAUAAUUGCUUUAAUACAUGAGCAUCUAAUUUUUUUUUAAACUUAAGAUUUUUAGUUACUAUGUUUUAGACUGGCAACUGUUUUAGUACGGUCAAAAAGUACUGUGUCUACUGAGGUAUUGUCCUGUCUCCCAGUGGAAUGUAGACCGUUGCUGUUGGAUGGGUUGACAUGGGAGAUUUGAAAGUAUGUUCUCCUGAAUUCUAAGCUUAGCACUGAGCUCCCAUGUCCUUCACAGGUCUUGGUAGUGCCUGCAACAGAGCAGGGAAGGGAGAGAAAUAGUGCAGGAUUCCAGUGACAAGUUCUUAAGCCUUAACCUGUACUUUAUUCUUUAGUAUAGAAUAGGUGUUCCACUUUUUUCCCCACAUUUUACUCUCUUUGGCUUGGGGUAAUAGAUUUUUUAGAAAUCUGAAUUUAUAUUUCAAAAAGGCAUGUGCAAAUUAAUUGUUAUAAGUCAGUGACGCUGCUUUUUAAGCUCACUUUGUAACAUGCAUACCUGCAGUGGGAGAAGUAAGUAGGGCUUUAGUAAUCUGUGUCAGGAACCAUGUACUGUUAAAUCCUAUUAAAUAUGCACACUUAGUACACAAAAAUUUAAGGAAAGAAGAUUUUUUUUUCCAAGUUAUUUAUAAAGAGUAUAUCUCGUGUAAUAAUCCCCCGUCUGUCCUAGCCCACCUUUACUUUCUCACACUUAUGUUCUUCUAAUAAUUAAAAUAUAAUAAAAGUUAGUUGGGUAACUUAAAAAAAAUUUAUUAUAGGAAGGAAAUGUGAUUUGAAAAAUAGGAAAUUUUCAAAUUUUAAUAAAUUUUAGUGUUUAUUAUGCCAGCUGUGAGAGAGUUGAAAAUGAGGGGAUGGGAUAUAAAGCUAAAUCAGGUACUUACCUUUGCUACUUAUGACCUGCCAGGGAGUUCAGAGUAUGCACAGAACAUAUGGGAAUUUGGAAGCUGGGCAUGGAGACUGGAAAAGUGCUGGAUUUUGAAUAGCGCCAGGAAAUAAAGGAAGACUUAGCAAGGGAUUAUUUUUCAAUGCCAGUGACAUGCUGUGUAAUAGUCUACCAUGGGGAAUUUGAAUACUUGUACGAUCGGUCGAUAGACUAAUACUGUCUUGUAAUUUGAACACUAACUCUUAAUAUUAACACAUUUUUUCUCAACAGCUGUCAUACGAACUUUUAAAAUAGUUUUUGCAUUUCCCCUGAAAAUAGUGCCUUAGGUCAUAUUAGGAAAAAUAAACUCUAGAAUAAAUAAAAUUUUGACCAAACCUGUUUCCUCUCUAAAAACCCAAGACACUGUUUCUAUCUUUAAUGUUAUCUAGUGUUAAAAUUUCAUUUCCUUCAACAGCAUGUGUUUCCAUGUUUGUUAGACCAAACAACUUCUUGUUUUACUUCUUACCUUGGUUCUUGUUCCUUGUUGUUAUUUAAUUAGAAAAGAGAAAUAAUUGUUUGGACCUUUUUAUACGCCUCAAAAAUGUUUAGUUACAUAGAAGAGUGAGUUAGAUUUAUGGUACUCACACCCGAUUUGAUCUCCUCAAGUGCAUUUCUAGCCAUGUUUUCAUCCACUCUUCCUUGUGUUAGGUUUCUCAUAGAAAUAACUUUUCACUGAGCUCAAUGUGUUUCCUUUCUUACUUACUUGUUCUUGGAAAUCUAGGACUGUGUAUGUGAAACUUGUUGUUCUUGUACACAAUAACUCUUAAGUAUUUGAAAAUUACUAUUCUACUUGAGUCUUCUUUUUUGCCAAGCUAAGGAGAAAAAUUCUUGAUUUUUUUUAAACCACAUGCAUGUGAUAUGGUUUAAAGACCUUUCCCCAUCCAUAUCGCUCAACUCAUGACAAAGUCUUUGUCAGUAUACCUCUUGAAAUGAAGUGGCCAGAACUGAACUGACUACUUCCGAUGUGGUUUGACCAUUGCGGAAUACAAUGAAGCUAUUAUCUAGGAUACUGUACUUCUAUUAAUGUAGCCUGAAAUUUGCAUUGCAUUUUUUUGGCAGCCACAUUACUCUUUGAUCACAUUGAGCUUAUGAUCAACUAAAACCUUGUCUCUUUUUCAUGUGAAUCGUGUUAAGUCUAAUCUUUGUCACUCUUUACUUGCCAGUUGAUGCUUUGAAAGUAAAUGCAGGAUAUUAUGUAUUGCAUUACUGUAAAACCUUAGAUGAAUUUAUCUAUCUGGAGAUAUCAACUAACAUUUAUACAAAUGCACUCAGUUUUGGCUUCAUUAAUUUCAGUAAUGUUUGGUAGUUUAUAGGAUGCAAGUCUUUUAUAUUUUGGUCUCGCAUAUGCCUCUGCAAGUUGGGUUCUCCAGAGAAACAGAAUCAAUAAGGGUGUGGGGUGUGUGUGUGUGUGUGUGUGUGUGUGUGUGUGCUUGCAGACAGAAAGAUUGAUUGUAAGAAUUAACUCAUGAUUGUGGUGGCUGGCAGAUCCAAAAUUCAUAGAAUGGGCAGGCAGGAUGGACUCUCAGGCACAAUUUAACUUAUAUUCUUGAGAUAGAAUUCCCUCUUCCCUGGGCAACCUGUUUUUGCUCUGAAGGCCUCAUUUGAUUGGGUGAGGCUACUCGUGUUAUGGAGGAGCGCUCUUUUACUUGAUGGCAACUGAUGGUUAGCGUGAAUCACAUCUACAAAAUAGCAGUAUCUAGACUAGUAUUUGAUCAACUAGACAGCAUAGCCUGGCCAAGUUUACACAUCAAGCUAGUAAUAUCAUUGUAACAUCUGAGUAUUACAUAUCUUUAAGUGCUGUUGUAAAUGGUAUACAUUUUUAAGCUCAAUUUCUGAUUGAUGCUACUUUACUGUUACUUUUUUGAAAACUCUGUAGCCUUCUUUUCAUUAUUCCUAAAUACAUGAGGAUUACCCCCUAUUUUUUAGAAAAAAUUAAUAUUUUUUAAAUCAAAAGUUCUAAUGUUAAUUUCUCACCUUUUUUUUUUUUUAACUGGAAUCAUCUGACAGGAAUGGCAAUUUCAUUUUAACAGUCUUGUCUUAUUUUGUUUGGGCCAUCUUCUGGUUAUUUUUUUUUAUCACAGGAUUGUGACAGUCCUUAAAUAUUUUAGAGAUUAAAAUUCUAAGUCAAUUUAGAGCAUAAUUGACAGAAUGGACAUGUUACCUAAAAAAGAUACAGGAAGUUUGGGAGAAAAGAUAAGAUUCAUAUUUUAGAUAUCACCUUUAUGCUGCUCUCUCUCUUUGGUCAAGUCACUUAAAUUUUAUGAGUCUCAGGUCCUCUUCUAUAAAAUGGAGUAAUACCCACUUGCUAUGGAAUUGUCCUGAAGUUAAAUGAGAUGCUUUGUGUGAAGAGCCUGGAAUAGUGCUGCUAAACAGAUGCAACUCCCUUUACUAUUCUUAUAUUUUUUCAACAAAUAUUUGACACUCACUGUGUGCCAGGCACUGUUCCAGAUUCUGGAAUUACUGGAGUGAGAAAUAUCGGCAAGAUUCCUGUUCCUACAGAGCCUCUGUCUUGGCUGUUCUGAAGACGAUGAUAAACAACGAAAAGAGUACACUGAACAAUUUCAGAUUAUAGUGAGUGUGAAGAAAAGCAAAGAGUGUGUGGCGAUGAAGAAUUGCUGUGGUAAGAGCCCACUUCAGACUGGUAGUCAGGGAAGACUUCUUUAAGAAGGUGACAUUUGAGUAGAAAUGCCCUUAGGAUUUUGGAGAAACUAGGCAUUUGAGUAUCUGAGUGAAAACUUUCCCGGCAGAGAGAAGAGAUAGUGCAAAGCCUCUAAAGUGGGGAAAAUGUGACAAAUUGAGAGAAUUGAAUGAAGCCGAGAUGCUGGCUGCAAGUAGUGGAGAAGUCAGAGAGGACCAGCUAAUGUAGGAUCUUAUAAGCCACAAUAGGAAGACUGGAUUUUAUUCCAGGUACAGAGAGAAGCCACUAGAGGGUUUUAAAAAGGAGGUUUUGUGAUCAUUAGGUAGAAAUGUUGCUGUGGACUCUUGGAAAUGAGAACCUAGCUGUGAAACAUUAGCAAACUAAACACUAGCAACUUGGAUUUCUAGUUGCCCAAUAAACAGAGUAAACUUAUUUUCCCUGAUACAAAAAUCCCAGCCAGUCUCUAGCAAAGGCAAAUCUAGGUUAUCUAGAGCAAAUACUAUUUUAUAUCUGUUAAAUUUUACUAAGACUUAUUUAUGGACUUAUAGAUGUUAUAUGUUAUAAAUUUUUAAAAAACAAUGCUUUGUGGAUUGUUUCCCUAAGUUCAUGUGGCAGUUGACUAGCAUAGCAGUAAAGAGUACAACUCUGGUUUCAGGUAUGAGUAUGAUCACUGAUCACAUAGGAGCAUUAAGUUAAUAUUAACAAGCAUCUAUUGCCAGAAUAUAUUUUAUUAUAGAAUUAUGAAAUUAUUUAGCUGAAUGUACUUUAAGAGUUAGUCUUUUUUCCUUUACGGAAGAGGGAACUUAGAUCCAAAGAGGUUAAGUGGUUCACAUUAUAUAAACAUAUAAAAAAUAAACCUGGAUUUUACUAGUUGUAGGAUGAGAGGGUCUUGAGGCAAAAUGUGGAAUGACAGAAGAUAGUGACAUCUGUUUGCUUUGUAUCUGCUACAUUCUUCUCUGUUGCUCAUUUGUUUUACAUCUAUGCUUUUUCACACUUAUCCUUGGACUUAGGAUAUUGGGAUAUAUCAAAUAGUUGCUCCCUUAGUGUGGAAACAGACAAGUAAACACACAGUUGCUAACCAAGUUACAGGCAUCAUGAUAAAGGCAAGCUUAGUGUGUUGUGGAGGACAUGAUGGGUGUGUUUGUUAAGUGUCCCUGUUUAGAGUCUGUUUACUGAUAGAGUUGAAUGUCCUUGGGUCCUCAUUUCAAUUUAAUAUAUAUUAUAUUGCCUUGGCUGUUUGACCCUUUUUUGUACUUGUUUGCCUCCCAGCUAUAAGCCAGUUUGAAGGCCUUCAUGUAUCAAGUCUAGUGGGUUAAACUAUGUCUGACCAGUAAGACCUACCGUGACAGUCAGCAUGGUGACAGCAUGUCUUAUUUUAAGUAGAAACCUGGUUAGAGACUAAUAGAAGAAUAGUUGGUUUUGAAUAGAUGUAUUCCUUCUCUUAAGGAAUGUAGAUUUUAUUCUUAUAUUUUGAAAAAUCCUUAAAGGAAAUUGAGAAACACCUAUCAUUUUGCUAAUUUUGGCUCCUUUUACUGUUUUUUAUUUUGAAGUGUAGCCGUUCCUAAGAACACUAGCAAAUGAAGUUCAUUGUUGAUGUUAUAACAUAUUCUGAAUCUUAAGGUACCAAAAUACAUUCAUAGAACAAGUAAAGUAGCACUGCUAUAAUUAGGGGGGAAAUGGUAGUUUUCUUGUAAUCCUUUCUCUUUCAAGGGCUUUUAAUUUUCUGUAAAAACCAAACAUUAACCUUUUGGCAGGUGUGUUUUAUUCUUUCUCUCGAUUUUGUGUUAUAAAGCGAUUAAAAAGGAAAGAUAUUAACUUUUUGUCUCCCACACAAAGAAUGUUCAUAUUUGUAAUUUUUAGCUGUGACUCAUUGCCAUACCCCUGAGUCUCCCUUUGUUUAAAAAGUAAUAAUAUUUUUUUUAUCUACAAAGGAGUACCUUUGAUGUAUAUGUGUGUAUAAAGUCAAAAUGGCAUACUUUUUUUUAGAAUAUUCACUGACUCCUGAAGACUAUAUUAUAGUUGUACAAAGAAUUAGAUGGCAGGCCAUCAUGAUGGCUCAUGCCUGUAAUCUCAGCGCUUUGGGAGUCUGAGGCAGGUUGAUCAGCUGAGGUUAGGAGUUCAAGAUCAGCCUGGCCAAGAUGGUGAAACCCUGUCUCUACCAAAAUUACAAAAAAAUCAGCUGGGCAUGGCGGUGCACACCUGUAAUCCCAGCUACUUGGGAGGCUGAGACAGGAGAAUCACUUGAACAGGGAAGCGUAGGUUGUAGUGAGCUGAGAUUGCACCAUUGUACUCCAGCCUGGGCAAUGAGUGAAACUUUGUCUCAAAAAAAAAAAAAAAAAAUUAGAUGGCAAUCAGUUUUAGCAAUCUAAUUUGUUAGGUAAUCUGGCAUUAUCUAUCUCUUUGGUCGUAUGAGGAUAAGGCUGCCCACCACCAUUAUCCAUCUCCUGGGCCUUAGGAAGAAGGGAGCCAAAAUCUUAGAAAUUUGAACCAAGAAAAUUGGACUCAAGUUAGCAGCCUAAAAUACAAAACCAAACUGUGUAUGAAUUAUUGUUUUCUCAUCUUCAUUUUGUGCAGACCAAGAAACUGAACUGUACAAGUAUUUUCUAUGAAAGGGUGAAUAAGCUGUCCAAAGUGAGUGAUGUUUAGCCUGUGUAGAAAACAUCUCCUGCUGUAUUAAAUAUAAAACUGUCAGCUCUUUGAAUGUCUCCUUGCAAUAAUUAAUCAUCCUUCUCAGUUAACAGCACAGACAGUACAGCACAGGUAAGAGAGUAGGCUCUGGAGCCAGUCUACCAGGUGCUCUUGUGAUUCUGACUACAUGGCUUUCUGUCUCAUAUUCCUCAUUUACAAAAAGAGGAUAGAUAACACUAGUACCUACCUAAUAGUGUUACCGGGAUUAAAUGAGUUAGUAUAUGUAAAGCACUUAGAACAUUAUCUCAGACAUAGUAAGCACCGUAUAAGUAUUUACUGUUCGUUGUUGCAUAUUUAUAAUAUGUUGUAUUUGUUUGUUUGUUUGUUUGUUUGUUUUUUGACACAGUCUUGCUCUGUUGGCCCAGGCUGGAGUACAGUGGCAUGAUCUUGGUUCACUGCAACCUCUGCCUCCCAGGGUUCAAGCGAUUUUUGUGCCUCAGUGCGCGAGUGACGGAUUACAGGCAGACAUCACCACACCUGGCUAAUUUUUGUAUUUUUAGUAGAGAAAGGGUUUCACCAUGUUGGCCAGGCUGGUCUCGAACUCCUGGACCCCAGUGAUCCACACACCUCAGCUUCCCAGAGUGCUGGGAUUACAGGCAUGAGCCACUGCUCCUGGCCCUAUAAUACAUUUUAAAUGGCUCAUUUUAUCAGUGAAGCUCUCACAGAGAAUUUGGCAUUUGAACUGGUCCUUGAAGGAUAAAUAGGAUUUGUAAAAGUGAAACAUAAAGAACUGAAAAUGGUAAAAGCUAAUGUGAAUUAAGUUGUUAAGGGGGAGUAAAGAAACUUUGCUUCCAUUUAGUGAAGAUUAGCUAUGUGCCUGCCUGUGCGCUUAGCAUUUGAUGAUCAUUACAUUAUCUUAAUCAGUCCUUAUAAUGGCCCUUCAAGAUAGGUAUUUUAUUUUAUUUUGGAGAUGGAGUCAUGAACUUGUCGCCCAGGCUGGAGUGCAGUGGUGCAGUCUCUGCUCACUGCAACCUCUGCCUUCCAGGUUCAAGUGAUUCUCCUGCCUCAGCUUCCCAAGUAGCUGGGAUUACAGGCACCUGCCCCCACGCCUGGCUAAUUUUUGUAUUUUUGGUAGAGACAGGGUUUCACCAUGUUGGCCAGGCUGGUCUUGAACUCCUGACCUCAGGUGAUCUGCCUGCCUAGCCUCCCAAAGUGCUAGAAUUACAGGCAAGAUAGGUAUUUUAAAUUGUAAUUUUACAGAUGGCAAAGUAGCCACAGAAAAGUAAAGCUACUUUUUCAAACUCACAAAGUCAAAUGUUUGGCCUAGUUCUGUCAGACUGUAAAGCCCAUGCUUUUAAUUGUUAUCUAAUACUGCUUUCCUAUCGGUAGACUAUCAGAUUAUUCCUAAAGAUAUUUAAAAGAAUGAGCACUCCAGGGUUGGAGUUCAAAAUAUUAAUAGAAUUAUAUUGAUAGGAUGUAUGUGAUCACUUUGCUAAUGAGAGACACUCUGGAUGCUGUGUUUGCUGGUCAUUUCAAAGGCUAAAGAGAAAGAGGCAUGCCUGUCCUUGCCAAACACAUCGUUUCCACUGUGAUUCUGUCACUGUGGAAGUACUUGUGUUUUCUGAACUGGGAGCAAUGGUAUUGUGGUUAUUGGCAUUUUUUUUAUCCUUCUUCCUAGAAAUUAUGCAGAUAUCCCCAAUGAUAUCUUGAUGCAUGCCUUAGGUUCCAAAUUUUGUUGCCUCGAAUUGACUGAGUGCUCUUUUCAGUUCCCUGCAUCAGAGGAGAUGUGUGCAGUUGUGCUUCCCAGUCUUCAGCAUUUAUGGUUUCAUGUUUGUGAAGUUUGUUUGAAAUAUAAGAAGGAUAAUCUUAAUUCUAGUACUGAUUAUUUCUUUCAUUCUGUAGCUACUUGUCACAUCAUCUUUCUUUUGAAACUUUUAGGGAAUUAAUAAAUUAAUAAUUAUGAAAUUCUUUUUCCAUUCACAUAUCUCACUGGCUUUAUUCAGAAUUAAUUUUUUUUUGUCCCUGUGUACUACAUCCUUCUAUUAAUUAACUGACAGUUGUAUUUCUCCUCUAUGUUUUUGGUGCUUUUUUUUUCUCUUACUGUUUAAAACUUUUUCAGAAGAUGUAGCUAGUGACUCAGGUGCUAGCUUUGCUUCAGACUUCAUAAAGCUAGAGACAGAGUUAAAUGAACUAGGAACUUGAUAACCAAGAUCUUUCUCUAGAAUUUAUAUAUUUCCCUCUGCUUUUAAAGAAGGAGGAAGAACAUUAUGUGGAAGCAAAUAGCAGAGAUUUAGCCCAAAAUUUAAAAAUAGAAAGCAAGCAUCUUCAGGAUUUCUCAAUAAACAUUUAACACAUAAGAAAUUAUGAAGAUUUUUACCUUUAAAUCUCAUCUCUGUGUUAUUGUAAUAUCCUUUUCAGACUAUCACAGUCUGAUCUUUCUUAAACAGAUCUAAUCUUGUUCUUUUGUGUCUCAAAAUUUUCACUGGGUCUUUAUUUUCCAUAGUGUUACCUAAUUCCUGACAUGCUUCAUCCUCCUUAGACUUGUACACUCCAUACACUCCAUGAGAACAGGUACCUUUCCUUUUUUUUUUUUUUUUUUGAGAGACGAAGUUUUGCUCUUGUUGCUCAGGCUGGAGUGCAAUGGCACUAUCUUGGCUCACCACAACCUCUGCCUCCUGGGUUCAAGCAAUUCUCCUGCCUCAGCCUCCUGAGUAGCUGACAUUACAGGUGUGUGCCACCAUGUCCAGCUGACUUUGUAUUUUUAGUAGAGAUGGGGAUUCUCCAUGUUGGUCAGACUGGUCUCAGACUCCCGACCUCAGGUGAUCUGGCUGCCUCGACCUCCCAAAGUGGGUACUCUGCCUAUUUUAUUCACCAUUCUCUUUUCCAUACCUAUAUUGCUGCCUCUAACAGCUACUUAUUCCGUUAAUACCAUGGGCCAGGGCUCCCCAAAAGGUGUCCCUCUCGUCAGUUACAAGUAUGUUGAGAGUUACUGGUUGGUGCCUUCCAACUUUGGGAUGGCAAGUUGGGGCUUGGCUCAUGGUCCAGGGCAGCAUUGAGAGUAAUUGGAGUCAAGAUCUCUGCGUGAUGAUGAUGAUGUGCUGAUCACAGGCAACAGGAUGCUCUGCAGCCUGGUAUUCUACUUCGUUAGCCUACUUCAGAGUGUACCACUGCCCAUGUUGGAUGAGGGCCCAUGGAACCACUGGAGAGUUUGUGUUCCAGGAAGCUGAGGAACCAGCUACUAGUGCUGGUGCCACUAUUAAUAAUACUAGUCAGAAGUGGGGGCCGGAAACAGCAGAGGCCCAACAGUGGUUUUCAACUAUAGAUAGAAGUCCCAACUCUGUCUUCACAUACGUCAGAUACAUUUGGUAUAUAUAUAUGGCUCAUGUUCUCAUUUAGUGGCAUUCAAGUGAGCUAUAGGCGAACCAUUCUAACAUUGUAUGUUCAUCUGCAGAUUAUUUUUAAAUCAUUUAAUACUGACCUGAACUUGAUAUGAAAAUGUUCAAAUGGCUUUGAAACCUAUUCGUGUUUUCCCAAGAACUUUCGUCAUUACUUGCCAAUGAAAAAAACAAGAGAGUUUAGGUUGAGUUUGGUGGCUCAUGCCUGUAAUCCCAGCACUUUGGAAGGUCAAGGUGAGAGGAUCACCUUAGCCAGUAUUUUGAGACCAGCCUGGGCAAUAUAGUAGACCCCGUCUCAAAAAAAAAAAGAAAAGAGCUUAAUUUUAACUAAUGUAACUGCUUAACUAAAAUAAAUGAUUCUUUACUUGAGCAAAUAAGUUUGGUUAUGACUUACUUUACACAAGAAAUAGUUUAUUUAAUUUUUUAUUAUUUAUUUUAUUAUUUUUUUCUGUGAAGAUUUUAAUUUUUAAUGCCAGUAUAUUUUAAAAUUUAUUGAAGGAAAUAAAUUUAAAAUACAUUUUAAUUUUAUUGUUUAUAGAAACUCUGGGUUAUAUUGUAAAAUGAAAAACAUAAUUAAAGGCAGAUUUAUCUUUUGUAACUUUAGAUUUUUAAGAUUUUAACUGAAAAGUGAAAACAAAGGUAGUUUUUCUGAUUGUCACAGUAUUAUUACUGUAGUUGGGUCCAGUUAGCCCAUUUGCUUUGAAUAAAGCUAAUGUUACUGAUCCCCACCCCAACACGCCAUAUUAGUUAAUGCCAUGUUAAAUAUAACUGAAGAACUCAUUUCUACUCACAGAGUAUGCCCCUCAUGGUCAGCAGGUUAUUCAGAUACAGACUUUCGGUGGAAGGUUUUCAGAAAAAGUGUGACUACAUAUCUAUAAAUGCUUUUAACAUCUGCACAUUGAAUUAUUGUUUCAAAUGUUUUUAUACUCACAUAAUUUUAUUUAAUAUUCACCACCAUUCUGUGAGAGCUUUAUUCUUUUAUGUUAUAGGGUUUUCUUAUUUUACAAAUUGGGAAACUGGUGUAGAGUAGUUAAAUGACUUAAGAUUACAUAGCUAGUUAUAAGUGGAAGGAUGAGAAUUUGAAGGAACAGGUGUGCCCUCUUCCAGGAAACCGUAUAAAUAAUCAGACUUUAUGAAGGAUAAAUUGGUAAGGAGAGUCAUUUAUUUCUCUUGUCUGUAAAGAGGAUUCUUUUUCUCAAGUAGAGCAUGAAGUAGAUUAUUUACUAGAAAAGCUUGAAAAUGCUUUUCUGAAAAGCAUUUCAGAAAAUUAAAACUGCUUUGAAAUUAGGCGCAUAAUAAGAAUUGUUUCAGGGCCUGGCGUCCAUUGGGCAUUAUACACAUAUUCUUUGUGUCAGUAAGGUUUACAGUUAAGGUCUCUUAAAUCCUUAUUUGCUGAAAUCUCUUUUUGCUUAUAUAUUGAGACUGAAGUUAGCAAUUUUCCUCCAGGUGUGGACUUUGAAAAUAAAAUCUACUUAUUGAAAUGUAGGUUGCAUUAUGGUGAUGCAUUUAUAUAGUACUGCCCUCCAGGAUUCUUGGAAACCUAAGUGUAUUAUUGUAUAUAUGAAUCAUGGAAUGCACUCUAGAAUCUAUACUGUUUAUCAGUUUUGUUUGGGGUGUAGUUCAUGGUAUUUACUUAAGUCUCUAAAGCAGAGUUUAGGAUCUCUGCAUUUCAGUUUCCUGAGUGCUGUGGGGCUACAGACCCACUCAGAUUCUCUUGUUCUAAGUGGUCUUAACACUCAGUUAGCUCUGUGUGUUGGUGGUGACAAAUUUUACUGUAUUUAUGACCUAGGUCUUUCAGUGGACACAGUUUCAAGAAUCCAAGAAGGUACUGGCUACUAUUCAACUUACUCUCAGUUUCAAUUAUGGUCAGAAAAUUUUGAAAACAAAAAUUCUAAAUGUCCCAUAAGUUUGAAGCAUUCCUAUUCAGAGUGUUUACCUACAUGAUAAACUAAAGUAUCCAUCAUUCAUGCAUUCCAGAAUUUUAAUGUUACCUUCACCCUCCACUCAAAAUGCAAUAUGCCUUUAGUCCAUAAUAGCACCACUUCAUCUUAAGUGAAUAGUUGUUUCAGCUUUGAUAUAUAACCACAAGGUAAAUUAUCCUUGUUUGCGUAGGACUGUCCUGGUUUUUAAAUUCGGAAUCUCUUGUCCAAGGAACCGUCUCAGUCCUGCAUAAACCAGAACAGUUUCUUAAAAUACUAUUGAGGACAAUUGGUCAACCUAAUGGCAAGGCUGUGUUGUUAAUUAGGCUUUACGCAUGUUAUUGAGACUAUAGAUGAAAGCCCGUAUCAAUGGUUUUGAAGAUUCUGCAUGUGUCAGGAUUACCUGGAGUACGUGUUAAACAGACUGCUGGCUCCCAUCCCCCUGGUUUUGAUCCAGUAGGUCUGAGGUAGGAGUCUGAGAAUUGCUUUAGUAACAGUUGCCUUAGCCAUGCUGAUGCCUUUGGUUUGGAGUGCAUUGAGAACCACUGGCCUAGAUCAAGCCGUGCGUGUACUGUGUGAGUAUAUGGUGAUGCUUGGUUCAGGAUUAUGGAGAAGGGGAUCUGUGUUUCUCUGCCUCACAGACCUAAGCACCCACAACACCAAAGGGUAUUUUGUGUGUCUGAACUGUGGUCAUACAGCAGAAAAAAAUAUAUGUUCCUGUUAGAGGUGACAGAAGUAGGAGAAGGGUUAAAAACAGUCUAGCUGCUACAUCCUUUAUGGGAUGGAUAUAUUUUGAUAGGUUAUAGUAUCUUAGGCACACUUUCACUUGACAAUUUAUUUGAGUCUUGUAGUCACAAUAUCUGACGAAAUCAGAGAGGACACAAACAGAUGGAGAAACAUUCCAUGUUCAUGGUUAGGAAGAAUUAAUAUCGUGAAAAUGGCUAUACUGCCCAAAGUAAUUUACAGAAUCAAUGCUAUCCCCAUCAAGCUACCAUUGACUUUCUUCACAGAACUGGAAAAAACUACCAUGAACUUCAUAUGGAACCAAAAGAGAGCCCACAUAGCCAAAUCAAUUCUAAGCAAAAAGAACACAGCGGGGGGCAUCACACUACCAGAUUUCAAACUAUACUACAAGGCUACAGUAAUCAAAACAGCAUGGCACUGGUACCAAAACAGAGAUAUAGACCAGUGGAACAAAAUAGAGGCACCGGAGGAAACACAACAUAUCUACAACUAUACAAUCUUUGAUAAACCUGACAAAAACAAGCAAUGGGGAAAGGAUUCCCUGUUUAACAAAUGGUGUUGGGAAAACGGGCUAGCCAUGUGCAGAAAGCAGAAACUGGACCCCUUCCUGACACCUUACACUAAAAUUAACUCCAGAUGGAUUAAAGACUUAAACAUAAGACCUGGCACCAUAAAAACCCUAGAAGGAAAUCUAGGCAAAACUAUCCAGGACAUAGGAGUAGGCAAGGACUUCAUGAACAAAACACCAAAAGCAUUGGCAACAAAAGCGAAAAUAGACAAAUGGGACCUAAUCAAACUCCACAGCUUCUGCACGGCAAAAGAAACAGUCACUAGAGUGAAUCGGCAACCAACAGAAUGGGAAAAAAUUUUGCAGUUUACCCAUCUGACAAAGGGCUGAUAUCCAGAAUUUACAAAGAACUCAAACAGAUUUACAAGAAAAAAACAAGCCCAUUCAAAAGAGGGCAAAGGAUAUGAACCGACACUUUACGAAAGAAGACAUAUAUGAGGCCAACAAUCAAAUGAAAAAAUGCUCAUCGUCACUUGUCAUCAGAGAGAUGCAAAUCAAAACCACAUUGAGAUACCAUCUCACGCCAGUUAGAAUGGCGAUCAUUAAAAAAUCUGGACACAAUAUGUGAAAUGGAUACUUCAGAGAGCAGAUAUUCAUUCUUACUGCAGAACUGAUAAUAGCUGUGUUUAGCAGGGAUAAUGGUACCUACCCAUCUUGGCUACUUCUCAGUUAUUGUCAUAAAAAUCCAAUUACAUAAAAGGUGUGAACAUGCUGUACAGGUAAGAUGUCACAGUGAUGAUUAAAGUGUACUUUGCUAUUGGGCAGUACAUUUCACACUGCUUUCGUCUUCAUGUUGCAUUUCAUUGUUUUCAGGUGUCUUCAGAAUUCAGGCAAGUAGUUGGGGCUGCAGGUGUUACCAUUCUCUGUGACUUCUGUCACGGUCUUACAGACUUCACUUUGCCAGGCUUAGAUGUCUUCAGAGGUAGUCACCAGGUACUUGGUUGUUCCUAGACAGUGGCUCGUAGACCUAAUGGCUUUCUGUGGUUGAGCCUGCCUGAUCAGAAUUUGGUAUGUUUUCCCUCUGAUUUAAAAUUGUUUUGCCUAAGCCUCAUUUUGUGUGUAAAGAAAACAAAGGCAAAAGAAUAAGUGCUGUGCUCAUAAUCCACAGCCAGCUGGUAGUCACCAGACUGUGGGACUCUGAGUCUGGUCUCCUAGUCUCAACCUUCUAGGCAGUGAGCAUUGUUAAUCACAGAACAGGCUGUCCUCAGAUUCCUCGGCUUGCUCAUCUCUGUUUCUCCCAGGGCCUAGUGUUCAAACACACAUACAUACUACAUAUGUUUCUGUGUGUGUGUGUGUGUGUGUGUGCAUGCAUGUGCAUGUGCAUGAUAGGGAAACCAGAAUUUGUUCUCAGCUCCUUACCCAUGUGAGCUUCGCCAAAUCGUUUCUCCAAUCUGUACCUUCUUUUUCAUGUGUAAUAUAGAAUUAUCAUCUGCCUAGCUUCUAGCCUUAAAAGUAGUUACUGCAUAAGGAUGAGAAAAUGUAUAAAAGCACUUUGAAGCUUUUGUUACAAAGGGCAGUUAAUAAUACUGAGUAAAUAAUAAAUAAGCCUCAUAGAACAGGAAGCAUUUUCAUCUUUCUGUCCUAAUCACCUUUCUUUAUAAAGUAAGCUAUUUUGUAAAUCAUUCAAGUGGAUUGAGUUGAUUAAUUUAGAUAAUGUUUUAUUUUUCCUUUUUGUCUCUGUUUAUUUAACAUUGCAUAUAUAGAGAAUGGUAAUUAUUAUUGAAUGGAUUGAAAACAAGAAUAGAGUCUCUUUGGGAGUGCCUGUUUUUUUCCCUUGCAAUUGGCGGCGUUUUCUGCUCCAUGGUCAGUUUUCAGUGCUUUGUGAGUUCUUGCCUUCUGUCAAGUGUUUUCUCCCUGUCAUCACAGUGCUACUGCUCUUUGUAUUUACCUUCCCAGCUGCCCUGCCUUAUUUCAAAGUUCAGAGUCAAAUUGUAGGCAGCCAUUUCUGAGCGAGUUCCUAGACACUGCUGAAUUUCAACUAAUUAAUAGAUUGCUUUUAAGGGAUGCAAAAUCUAGGCCAGUUCAGAAUUUUACUUCAUUUGAGGGUUUUUUUUUUUCCAGAAUAUUUAUCUUAAGUUACAAAAUGUUGCUUCCCGUCAAUUGUUUUCUUGUGUAUUCUGGUAAAAUUUUACAAACCCAGUAAAACUCUCUUACAACAAUGCUGUUGAGGGAUAACAGCUUGUAUUCAUUAUGGAUUGUUCACACAGGAAGAGAUGUAUUUAGGUAUGUAACUUGUUUUCAACAUUGUACUUGAGACAUCUGUGGUAGGAUAGAAUCUGUGGCAAAUGUGGCAUGGUUUAUGUUGUGCAUGGAUAUUCAUAAACUGCCUUUGAUGGAUGGAUUGGCAAACAUUGCCAGUCACUGAACCAUAGCACUAUCGCAGUCAGCGGCUCAGCGAUCAUUUGUUGUCUGUAUAGCAGAUUGUAUGUAUGCAUGUGUAUUUUGCCUCUUUUUAUAAAAAUGUGUUAAAGGUAAAAUGCUAAUGCUAAUAAUCAGAAAAUUGACCUUCAAAUAUGUAAUAUAUUUUUGACAAAGAUGGAAAUCAUAAAGCAUGCCGAAAAUGGUAACCCUUAGCUUCAGCUAUCCCCUUACUAAAUUUGACCUUUUUACUCUGUGUUAUUAUAGUGAAAGAUUGUAUCUAGAAGAUAUUUUGUAAUGAUAGAAGGUAUUUUAUAAAUAGGGUUUCCUGUGACAUGUACUUAAUUAUUCAACUUCUGUACGUAUAAUUUUCAUGUUUAUUCAAGAAUAUAUUAUACAAAGUCACAGCAUUUGACAGUUCCUUCAUAACUCUGAAGGUUCUAUGUAUUUGCGUGAAUUAAAUACAGUGGCUCUGAUAAAAAUGUCUUUAGAUUAAUCUUAAAAAAAUAAACUAAGCACAGGAAGGUAAAUUAAAGGGGAAAUUUGGAGACUUGUAGUAACUGGUUCAUUGCAGCUUAAUGUGCAGCAUCCUCAUUAGUCAAGUAUCAUGUGCCUACCUGGGCAUGAAAUAGCUGUUUUUUUUCCUAAUUUAAAUCUGGAAAGUUUCAAUUGUAGAACAGUUUGAAUAGUUGUUGUAAAUAGCCACUGGACUUUUUAAAAAAGUAUUUGUCUUCAAAAACAAUGAAGGUCAUCUUGUAUCCAUAGAGACCACAUGCACUUUCCUUAUUAUUUACAACAUUAUUUAUAUAAUGGGUGGAGUUAUUUACGUUAAAAAAUAUUUCAGAGAUCAACCAUUAAGUAUUAUCACAGGGUAAAUAUCAGCAACUGAAAUCCUUUUCUCCAUAGUUUCUCAAAAAAUUGGUAUUAGGAAAUUAGUAGCCUUUCAGAAUUUGUAUGUUGGUUUUUUUCAGUAGUUAUUCUGUAGAGUGUGUGUGUACAUAUGCAUGUUCAUGUAUGUAUGUAUGUUCAUUUCUUAUAAAUCACUGUGACUUAAUUGUGGACUUUUUAAAUAGUUUUUUCUUUCCUAAAAGAAAGUUACUUUACGUGUUUAUUUUAUUUUUAUGUUUUUGAGACAGGGUGUCACUCUGUUACCCAGGCUGCAGUGCAGUGGCACGAUCUCAGCUCACUGCAGCCUCUGCCUCCCAGGCUUAGGGAUCCUCUUACCUCAGCCUUCCGAAUAGCCGAGACCACAGGCUUAUACCACCACACCCAGCUAAUUUUUUCAUAUUUUUUUAGAGAUGGGGUUUUGCCAUGUUGCAGAAGGCUGGUCUUGAACUCCUGGACUCAAGCAAUCCCCCAUCCACCUGCCUCAGCCUCCCAAAGUGCUGGGAUUAUGCCACUGUGCCUGGGAAUUUUACAUAUUUUAAAUUAAAGCAAAUCUUGGUUUUUUAUGAAGUGCUGAUUUACUUAUAUUUCACUUAGUCUUCCUUUCUUUCAGAAAAGUUGUGUGGAAACAAAAUGGUUUUAGUAUAUUGCUUUAUAAACAAAUUCAGGGUCAUGAGCUCUUUUUAUUAUCCUCUUUGCUUUGCUCAUUUCCAUGAACUGUACAUCUCUAACCUAAAUCAGCUGGGGAUAGGGGAAGAAAGUGUUAGAUUCUUACUCAGUUUAGAUCUGCUGCCAGGAAAACCCACUGUGUCCAUUGUCAUCUAAAUUAACACUUUUUUAAAUAAAAGGAGUCACUUUUAGCAGUAAUGUCAGGGCAACAGGCAUACAUUAGAUGUAUGGUCAUUCUUACCAUUAGGGUUAUCAUUCUAUUGUGUUGUUUAUUAUUUUGAAACUCUAGGGAGAGAAAAACUCAUUUUUUCAUAUGUUAGAAAAAUGUAUCCUCAUGUAGAAUAUCAAGGUAAUAUCUUUAAUGUUUCUUAUUUACCAAUAUAAAUUUGUAAUGCAUAUUUUCUUUUUAAAUUAGAUUAUUUAGGAGAAAUUACACUUGAUGAAUCACUUACUCUCUUUUUAAUUAGUAACGUUAACUUUAUCAUUUUUGUUUCAAGAUAUCACAGCUGUUGUUCAGCACUAGAAAUUAUAUAAAUUAUUAGCCAAAGAUUUGGCUACAUUUAUGUGUGUUCCUUCUGUUAAUUUCUUGUUCAGAAAGUCUGUUGUUGUAAACAUCCCCGACUGGAAGCUGUAAGAUUCAACUAAGCUUUCAGUCAGAUGUUUGCUGCUACCGGCUAUUCACAGACAUCCUCUUGAUAUAAUUCUAUCCCGGAGUGGAGUUGAGGGGGCUAUAAAACGUGUGGGAAAACCUCAGAAAUCUUUAGCUGUCUUCUUUUACAGCACUGACAGUGCACGUAUUAUGAAAGUUGAAUGUAGGGUGCUCUCCUAAUAACAGGAUACACCAUCUCAGCUUCCCAGACUUAUCGUGCUGCUGCUGGGCCUUAGAGAAUUUAGUUAAAUAAAAAUUGUCCCCACUUAUUCCUGUUUCUUCCCUGUCAAUGAAACUGUAUUCUUUAUAACCUUUCCAAGUAGGCUGGAGUUUAACUUCCCAAGAGUUCGGGAGACUGAUUUUCUCCAUUAUGAAUUCCGUAGAAGUUCGGGAGAAUAAUUUAAUCACUACCACCCAGCAGUAUGCAAUCUAGAAAUUUCACCUUUCCCUGUACUUAAGAGAUGUGUGUGCAACAUUUUUCUUGCUCCUCUUAGCCCCCCACUUCCUGUUCUCCUCACCCUGAGUGAUGUCACAAUUCCUAAUCAGAACUCUCCUCUAAGAAAAACUGCAAGACGUCAAGCCACUAAGCCUGUUUACAUUUGCUGAUGGUUAUGCAUGUUUUUUAGAUUAAUGUAUUUUCCUAAGUGUUUUCAGAUUGUUGCUUUCAGAUUUAUUGCUUCCUCCUUAAAAUAUAGCUGCCCUGUAAUCAGCUGCAUUGUGUCUCCUUUUUGUGUUUCCCCACAGAUCGAAAUACUCCAGGGCUUUUCUCAUAGAUGGCAUUCAGGGUGGACUAAUUGAUAAAGUAUAAUUUUAUGACAGCUGUUUUCUGAGUUUUAAAGAUUUGUUUUUUUAUUUCUGUUUGUCUUUUAGAUGCUGGAAGACAUUUCUAUUUUAUUGACAUUUUUCUUACUGGCAUUUUUCUUUUCAAUAAAGCAUUUUUUAAAAAUCACUUAUUAUUAUUAAACUGUUAGACAUCAUACUAAGGUUCAGUACAUAAUUAACCCAAAAGAUAAAGGUCUUGCCGAUCUAAUUUUUUGCAUGCUUAUUUUCUUUGAUUAGAUUAUAAGCUUUCCGAGGACAGACACAUUAACUCUUGGUAAUUCUAUAUUUUUCUGUCAUAAACAUCAGGUAAAGCACCUUGCAUGUAUAGUACUUUAGUAAUGAUAUUUGUAUUAUCUUAUUGCAGCAGUGUUCACUGUUUCCUUUUAUCUUUUAUCCAGAUGACCAAAUGACAGUUUUGGUCAUAAUGUGGUUACCCCAGAUGUAUUUGUGGUACAAUAUUUGUUCUUUAAAUGCUCCUUUGUUAGAGUGGUAGUAUACAAGACUUAUUUGGGGAUGGGGGAUAGUUGCUUCAGACUCAGGUAGCUUUCCAACUUGUAAAUAUAAUUUUCAGACUUGAUGAUUAGCAUGCAUCAAGCAUCCAUUCCUAUGAACCCUUAAUAAAGUAGAUUUGUUGUGUAUUCUGUGGCCCUCGGUUUUAGCACAUUGGAAACCUUAGACUCAAAUAGCAGUGAAUGGAUGGAGUUUUUACUAAGAGCUCAGAAGUGUUCCCUGCCAAAGGUAGAAUGUAAUGUGUUUUCUAAUAAUAGGAUUAUUUUGUUUGACCAGGUGACACUGUUUAUUUCUUAUGAAAAAUUUUGAUAUAUAGCUUUAAAAUUUAGUAAGACGGAUAGAAACUGCAUAAUUUAAUAAUUUUAUACAGUGAAAUUUGAAAGGUUUUUCAAAAUGGUAAGGCCAAACCUAAGCUAAAAGAGGGGGUAGACAUUCUUUUUAAUAAAGCUGUUAUAUUCUGCCCAGCUAGGCCAGUUAUCCCUAGAUGCUGCAGGAUUAAUGGGGCAAUCUGUGUUAUGUAACAUUUGUUCUAUAUUAUUCUGCCCUAAUGAGGUGAAUCAAAGACCAUGUCAGCUUUAAUUCUGGAUGCCCUUGCUUCAGUGUAGUAAAAUACGUAAGUACAACCUUUUUAAAUAGUUUUCAAAUGACUUCUUUAUGUUUUUAAGUUGAAAAACCACUAACUUCCCAUUGGCCUAUCAGGUUAGCAAUUGAUUAUUUAUAGCAAAUGCCUUGAAAUGUUAGAUCGAUCAGUAUUUGUCAGUAAACCUGUAAUAACUUGUUUCCUUAGCCUUUAGUAUUUAGGAAAAAAUUGUGAUAUUCAUUGAUAGGGCUUAGAAAGCUCAGAAAUUAUUUAUUAUUUGAGAUUUGUUGAACCUAUUGGUAAAACGUUUUCAGUUACUGAACACCAUGCUGCAAAUGACAGUAUUUUAUCCUUAGUAUAUGGUCUGAAAUCACUUAGGGAGAACUUCUUUUUAAGCAAAUAACUAACUACAAAAUUAGGUCUUCAAAUUUAUUAUAAAUUAAAUGCUUUUGUACAAAUAUUCUUGGUUAGAAAAUAGUCAUAUAAAUACACAGUUGGACAUGUUCUCAUUGGUCUCCACGCCUCGGUUCCUUCUACAUGAGUCAUGGGCUUGACAUUACCCAGAAGUGGACUGUGAACCUAUAAACCCUAGCAUGCAUAGAGCAUGUUCUGACUUUGAUCCUUUCUACUCUUGUUAGAGCUUUAUUCAUUGGAUGAAUGUGCAUUAUUUGCUAUGUGUGCUUAGGAAAUAUUUUUUGUUUCUUUUGUAAGUUUGCCUAUCAGGUUGGGCUUGGUUACUUUUUAAAAUUGCGCUGUUUGAGAUAGUCUCUGCCAAACUCUACCUGACCUGGUUAAUUGUGGUUGGAACCAUGCUACAUAUUUUGACAUUGCCUUUUGCUUAUCCAUAGCAUAUUACAAACGUUCUAAUAAUUUGACAUUCCCUGCUGUAUUUGCUUUGGCUUUUCAACAAAUUUGAUGAAACAGUCCAUUGCUUUUCAAUAUCAGCUUGCACCGAAUUACUUGGAGGGCUUAUUGUUUAAAACACAGAUUGCUGGGCCCUACAAAAAAAAAAGUUUCUGAUUUAGUAGGUCUGGGGUGGAACUUGAGAAUGUGCUUUUUUCCCCACAGUUCCCAAGUACUGCUGAUGGUGCUCCUCUAGGCCCAUGCUUUCAGAAUCACAGAGCUCAUCUUACAUUCUUUUCCUGUUAGAUAUUAUGCUCAAUUAAUACAUGAAGUAAAACAGAGGAAAAUCCUUAACUUAAAAACAUGUCAUAAUCCAGAAGUUGGAUUAUAAAAAAAGUUUGUUGGAAACGUCAGACCAUUUUUUAUCCCAAAGAAAAAAUAUAUUAACUUUGUAGCUAGGAGGGGCCUAUUUGAGUGUGUUUUCAGAGAAAAGCAGAAGAAAAAAAUAUGGUUGUAGUAGUAGUUAAAACAGAAAAGAAAUAUGCUUGUAGAUGGGGGGGAUGGUAUAUGUGUAUUUAAUUUUGAGAACCAAAGCUUCUGGAAAACACCCCGAAGGGGACAAGAGGCCAGGUAGAGACAUAGGAGGUUCCUGAAAGUCCUGGGAUGCCUCUGAAAUUCCAAAGAUUUUUAAAGUUUGCUGUCAGUGGUUAUUAUAUGUAAUUUUACUUACAGAUUUGAAGAUUUCCUCUUCUUUGACGUAAGUGUAUUGGUAGGACCACUGGUAAUAGUUAGUAGAGAUGUUUGUGGUAAUGUAUUUUUAAUCAGAAAGAAUGCAGAAAGAGGGGGAGAUGUUUCUUUGAGACACCUUAAUGACAAUGGGAACAGUAGAAGGUGGGAAGAGCUCAAAGUGUGGGAAAGAUGUGCUUGAGAUGAAAUGAUCUGAAUUCUGAAUGUGGGGGAAAAGAUGAGGGAGAGGACUGAGGGGGAGGAGAGAUGACUAAGCUCCUCACAGUGUUUCAUUAACUGUCUUUUACCUAAAGCAGGAAUCUUAAUGAAGAUGGGUGGAUGCAUCAUACUGGUCAUCAAGUAAGUUCUUAUAAAUGCAAGUUCGAUUGUUUUGAAGGGAAGGAUAUAGGAAGGGUGGACAAUUGCUGCAUUUAGAUAUGGAAUGCUACAGGAUGUCUGCAUUUAUUGUUGUAAAUUCCUUUGGUGAAAAGAGUAUUACUUCUUUGUGAUUAGCGUGGGCAAUAUCUUGAGAUCCUGUCUCCAAAAAAAUUUUUUUUAAUAAGAAAAAUUAGCCAGCCAUAGUAGCGUGCCUGUAGUGCCCCCCCACACCCCAGACAGUCCCCCUCAACCAAAAAAAACACCCAGUUUACUUCUGUCUUUUCCUUGGAUUAUACACUUUCUCUCAGGGUAUCUUUCUGGUUGACUCUUGCCUCAUUUAUGUGAAUGCUGUACCUGUUCUUUUUUUCAACAGUCUUUGGUAAAGGACCAUGUAAACUUGGUAAAGAGUUUAAGUCCUGCUUUAAACCGAGUUUCAGUUCAUGUAAACAUCCUACACUCAGCUGUAAUACAUGGAUUGGCUGAGAGGUGGAUGUUUACUUCAGCUGACUUGGAAUAUCAACCAAUUAACAUUGAUAAAAUAUUUGGCAAGAAUAGUGUACAGAGGCCUAAAUUUUUAAUGUAAUUAAAGGUUUGUUGGAAAUGUGAGACCAUUUUUUCUUCCAGAGAAAAAGUGAAUUAAUAGUCUAGCUGGCAAGGAUCUACUUGAAAAUGUUUUCAGAGAAAAGCAGAAGAAAGUAUGGUUGCACUGAGAGUAGUUAAAACAGAAAAACAGUAUGUUUGUAGAGGAAAAAUUUAACCUAAAUUUAUUUAAAAUGUAUUAAAAUCACUUUAAAUUUGUUAAUUUAAAUUUUUAUUGUAUCUUUUCAGUUUUGUUAUUAUACCACUAACAUGACAAGCUCUGGAUAUUGGGACAAAAGGCCCUUCUUUGGUAGUUGGGGUCAGAUUUGUAGGUAUUGCAGUGUGUUUUAACAAGCAUGGGCUUUGACAUCAGACAUGUGUUGCUGUCUGGACUCCACAAAUGAAUUUGCUGUGGGAUUUGGAGGAGUGACAGGCAGUGUUUCCAUACCUCGGUGGUUUUCUCAUCUGCAAAAUAGGUAAAAAGCAAAACAAACAAGCAUAAAAGGAAAAUUAUGUAAGAAGUACACAUCCCAGCAGCUUGGCAAGUGUCUGUAUGCUCUUGCCUGUGCUUAAAUCCAGAAUUAGAAUUCAUGUUUGGUGCUCCAAUGGAAGAUGUCUAAAUAUUAUGAGAAAUGCGUGAUUAAAUAAAAAUGUGAAAUGAAAACAUGGAGCAUUAUUGUUGAAGGUGAGUGCUGUUUUUCUAAAUAUGUACUUUAUUUGUUUAAUAAAUAAUUUGUUAUUUUCCUUGUUACUAAGAGGGAGCUAUUUUAUUCUGUACUUAGGUGCAAAGCAUGCUACAUUUCAGUGAGCUCCACAUGUUAGUUUGAAACUUGCCAAAUGCUUACAUUAUUUUAUAAUUUAUAGUACUUGAAGAAACAUGUUGCAAUGCAGUACAGAGCAUAUAAUCUAAAGGCAGUUUCAUGAAGUGUUUUUCUCCCAAUUUAAGCAUAUUUGGAAAUUGCCCAUCAAUUUGUUUUUGAACCUCAGUGUGUAAAACAGGGAAUUUUUCUUUUAUAUGCUCAGAUGUGAAAAAUAGCAUAUGCAUGUGGUUUAGGCUACAAAAUGGCCUGUAGGUUAAAUUUCUAAUUCUAUUAUUUAAUGCAUUGCCUUUUUCCUUCUGGUUUAGUGGCCAUAUGUUUAUAUCUUUAGGUUACAUACAUUCCUGAUUAUAUAAUAAGGUCUUUGAUCAUGUGGGCUAUCAGCUUUGCCUCACUUUGUCUCAGAAGAAGGUAUACAUGAAACUAUAGUUGUACUUAAGUAAAACUUUGAAUAUUUUUCUGGUUUGAAUUAAUGCAAUGAAACAUUCUAGUUGCAGUUAGCUGUCUCCCACCCUUACAGGAAGGUACAUGCCUCCAUUUUUUAAAACACUGUAUAUUAGAAUUGUUACAGAAUUCUAGUAAACAUUCUGGUCACAUAUUUUCUGAUUAAUAUGUGCUUAGUGUUAAAUAUUAUGAAAUCUGGAUAUAUGUUAAAAUAUCUCAGUUUCCCCCCUUGUUUACCAUAUUGCCGUUUAUUAUUAAUGGAGAACAUAAUGUAAAAUUGAAUGUCUUUGAUAAUUUGGAGAUGUGUUCUGAAAUUAAACUUGAACUAUUUUCUGUGAAUUUAAGAUUUGGUAUCUUAUAAUUAUUUGGUGAGCCUUUGGCAUGAAUAUUUAGCUUAUCCCCUGUUUCACGAUUUCUUUCUCUUCUCAUUAGUUUCCAAUAGGAGAAUGUUACCGUUUAGACUUCAGUAAUUGAAAAAUGUCAGUUAAGAUAUGGGGGUAAUUUGUGAUAAGUAAUAGAGUUUAUCUUUUAGUUAUAUUCAUUUCAGGUUUUUUAAAUGAUUUUUUAAGGUAAAUGUCAAAGUAUUAGUGCAAAAUAUUAUGCAAUAUUAUAAUAAGCAACUAACCUCUUCUAUGAUAAUGCCUUAAUAUUGAGAGGGUUUUUAUUCUUGUUUUAAAUUCCGGGUUAAAAUGUAAAGGUCUUUUUAUUUUUUUAAUUUUAAUUAUUCACAAAGUUACCAGUGCAUUAUAAAACCAACAACAAUUUCACAUUUAGAAUGUUUACGUGUAUAUAAAUUAGGAUUUUUUUUUUUUUUUUUUUUGAGACGGAGUUUCGCUCUUGUUACCCAGGCUGGAGUGCAAUGGCGCGAUCUCGGCUCACCGCCCCCUCCGCCCCCUGGGUUCAGGCAAUUCUCCUGCCUCAGCCUCCUGAGUAGCUGGGAUUACAGGCACCCGCCACCAUGCCCAGCUAAUUUUUUGUAAUUUUUAGUAGAGACGGGGUUUCACCAUGUUGACCAGGAUGGUCUCGAUCUGCCGACCUCGUGAUCCACCCGCCUCGGCCUCCCAAAGUGCUGGGAUUACAGGCUUGAACCACCGCGCCCGGCCAGGAUUUUUUUUUUUUUUUUUUUAUUUGCCUGAACUUCCUUUAACUUUUAUGGAAAAGAACUAGUCCCAAGGGUAUUUUUACUAUUUAAUACACAUUAUUCCUGUGAUUCAAAAUAGCAGUAGAACCUGUUGAGCUACUUGGGACUAUCCAGGUGCAGUUAUAACUGGUUUUAAAGUUGUGACCUUUUCCUUGAUUGUUUCAAAAUCAUUCCUUAAAAUAUGUUUAGUAUUUUUUCUUUUGUCUAAAAAUAUUUAAAAACAGGAUUUGUGGGUUGUUUUGUUUUUUAGAAUUAGUUUGAGAAAGUUCCUUUGCCACUUGUUUUCUGUGCAAAUGUUGUAAGAACUCAAAUUCCCUGGGGAUAGGGAGGACUUUUAUAAGGUUUUUUUUGGUUGAAAGGUAUAAAAGGUACUUAAAAGUGUUUAGUUGCCUUUAUUUAGGUAACCCAACCAUUUUGACAUUAUGAUAAGCUUUCCCCACUUUAUAGGUUAUCUGAAAAUUUAGUGGGGCGCAAGUAUCUUAUUUAUAUUUAAUAUCACUUAAAAUUAUUUCCUAUGUAUGUUAUAAAGUCUUCAAAUCAGUAUCUCUAUUAAAUGCAGUGACCAAACUAUGUCUUCAAAACUGAUACAACGUCAUGGUUAGAUGUGCAGAAGACUAUGUUACAUAAUAAAUGAACCUUAAACAUACAGAAAUUAAUAUCAGAUUAAGCUAAAACAUUAAGCAAAGUUAAUACAAGGUUGCAUACAUAUAUAUAUUUAUUAAUGAUAUGUGGAGAAUCUUUGUGUUUCAUAGUCACUAGAUUAGAAGCAGUUGUCAAGAAUGUCUGACUGCUAUUCAUCUUUGUUGCCAAAGUAAAUUUCAAAUGUUUUUUCAUAAUGGUUUUCUUUAGUCUCUCUAUUAACCCAUUAUCAUUACAAGUCUGUGAAGCGACACAUGUCCUUUCUCAUUCCUGGUGCUUCCUGAGGAGGCAGUUCAGUGCAGGGGAAGGAAUAUUAUUAGAGAUAAAGGAAAAACCAGAAGUGCUUUCUUCUACUCUCACAUUCCACUCAACACAACACUUCUCUCACCAGAUAUGUGUGGUGAUUUCUCUCCACCAACAACCAGCAGUUCUUUACUGCAGAUUUUCCAGUGGAUACCAGCCAGGUGUCCUCUAAUUCAGUUCAAUUCUGACAUCAUCUACUGGAAGAUAGUGUCAGAUCCCACACAUGGAGGGCUCAGUCCUACAACACUAUCCCUUACUUUGGAUCUCUGUCACAAGCAGUUAGUAGUUUGUGAUUCUGACCAACCGGCUAGAAAUCGGGGGUCCCAUGAUCACCUCCUCAGGUGUGAUUAAUUCGCUAGAGCAGCUCCCAGAGUUCAGGGAAACACUUUAUUGACAUUUACCCGUUUAUUAUAAAGGAUAUUACAGAGGAUGCAGAUGAACUGCCAGAAAGACGAGAGUAGCACAGGACAAGAUACUGAGAAGGGUCACGGAGCUUCUGUGCUUUCUCCAGGUGCACCACCCUCCAGGAAUAGUCAGUUCAUGUGUUCAGCUGUCUCGAAGCUCAUUCAAACCCUGUCCUUCUGAGUUUCUGUGGAGGCUUCAUUAUGUUAGGGCUCAGAAACCAGUACCCCAAAACGUGGGACUUUGACAUGCUGAAUUAAAGAAGCAGCCUCAAGGCCUCUUGACCUUCUUCAACUCCCUUCACCCAAAUUGUGUGUCUCCGAAAGCACUGUAUGAGACUGUUUACCAAAGUUCCCUUAUUUACCUAGAAACUGGACUCACAAAGAGGAACACAGUUGCCUGCGAUUCCAUCCCUGAAAUUUCAUUAACUAGAGAAGAUUAAAACUCAUAUCACAGAGGAAGAGACUGAAAAUUAAACACCAUACCUGGAGCCCAGAUGACCUAUCCCAGUCUAUUAUCUGUUCCCAGUCUCAUUUACAAAUCAUUGUCUGAUCUUCAGGCCCAUUUAUUUAUAGCUCCCCCACUUUCCCCAAUGAAAGGAUAUUUAAGAGUCAGCCGUCUAUCUGGCCCUUUCUUUGAGUUUUGAGUUUUCACAUUUUGUAUGACUCCUGUGCAUACACAUUCAUGCAAUCACUUUGUUAGACUUUUCCUUGUUAACUUUUUUUUCAUUAUAGGGGUAUCUGCUAUGGUUAUAUAUGAUGGGGAGUUUCUGCUCCUACAGUCUGUAGGCAUAAUUAAUACACCAUUGAUCGCUGGUGAUUAGCUCAAUCUUCAAGCCCUAUCCUGUCGCUGGAAGUUGGAGGAUGGCACUGAAAGCUCCAACCUUAUCAUGCUUUGAUCUUUCCAGUGACCAGACCCCACCCUACCCUGAAGCUAUCCAGGGGUCCUCAGCAACAUUCAUUUCAUUAACAUGCAAAUGACAUUCUUACAAUUUUAGAGAUUACAAGGGCUUUAGGAAAUCGACAUGAAGAGCAAAUAUAUAUUUCACAGUAUCACAAACAUACCCUCAGAAAUUAGACCUCUGAUCUAAUCUGGGCUCCCUCACUUGCCAUCUUUGUGACGUUGAACAAGUUGUUCAUCUUUUCUGGAUAGUUCUCUGUUAAAAAAAAGAUUUUUUUUUAAUGGCUGCAUAAUGUUGUUAUGAGGACUAGAUAGCUAUGUGAUGGACCCUGCACAUUGCUAGCAACAAAAGGUAAGUACUAUUUCUAUUUCUUUUGCUCCCAAACUUACGUGAGCUCCCUCAGUGUCUACCACCAAAUCAUAUGAUGUGUAUCCUAGUCAAUCUUAAAAGUUGUCCACCUUGAAUCUUUAAUUAACGUGUUUUUAAAACUGCAUUAUAAGAACGUUAGUGUUUUUAUUUUGAUCCUAUGGAAGUUAGACUUUUUCAUGCAAGCAUUCAAACCUUUAGCUUCAAACAGAACAGAUAAAUAGUCUGUAUGAUUUCAUUAUAAAAAAAUGAUUAAGCAUGUCUCAAGCAGCUCAGACAAGGCAGAUAAAAGAUUAUCAAGGAGUAACAUUAGAAAACACUAAUCAAAGUGCCUAAAAAGCUUUAUGCGAUCCAGGUAUUAUGGGGAUGUUGCAACAGUAAAACAAAAUUUUGCAAGGUGUGAAGGGCUAGAGAUAGGUAGGACAGAGCAGAUUAUGUUAGAGAAGUCUCUUCUAAAAUUGUGUUGGAUAGCCUGGGAUUUGAACUUACGCCUUGUAUGUGUGUCUAUGUGUCACAGGCUGAACAUGCAAGAAGCAGAGUUCAAAAAGGUGGUAAACUUCUUUUACUUGUUUCUCAGUCUUUUCAGAUCAUUGCUUAGAAAACUUUUAGGAAAAAGUGAUGAUACAACAGACAGGCCUUAAAUAGAGGAAUUGAGAUAUCUCUCUCUGUCUUUACUAUGUAACCUUUAGCUAAUUCCUUAUGCAUUCUGACCUCAUGUUUCUUGUAUGUAAAUGAGAAUGUUACAUGCUUAUAAAUUCCUUUUCCUCUGUGACUACAUCCAGUUUUAUUUAUAUUAUUGUGUGUUUGUGCACAUCAGUAGAGCACAGUAUUUAGUAGAAUGAGUUCUUGGUUAAACCACCUGGAUUCAUUUGUAAAAUGGGGCCACCUAUCUCUUAAAUUGUAAUGAGGAUUUGAUUAGAUAAUCUAGAUAAUUCACUUAGCACAAGCGUCUCCAGCCCCUGGACUACUGACCAGUACUGGUCUGUGGCCUGUUGGGAGCUGGGCUGCACAGCAGGAGGUGAGCAAGGGAGCAAGCUAGCAUUAUGGCCCGAGCUCCACCUCCUGUCAGAUCAAUGGCAGCAUCAGAUACUCCGGAGCAUGAACCCUGCUGUGAACUGUCCUCCUGAGGGAUCUAGGUUUCACACUUCUUAGGAAAAUCUAAUUAAUGCCUGAUGAGCUGAGGUGGAACAGCUUCUUGUCAAAACCAUCUCAUGAAACUGAUCCCUGCUGCCAAAAUGGUUGGGGACCUCUGACUUAACACAUUACCUGGCAUAUACUAAGCACUCAGAAAAUACCCAUUUCUCAAAACUCAGUGCCAGUGUCAAGUUUUAAUAGUAUGUUGAUCUUAGACCUCCAAGGUAAACUUGGUCCUGUCUUUGUGCCAUAAAUGUGCCUUGUACUCAGUAGUGCUAAAUUGCUGUCACUAGUGCUAAAUGUACCACUAAUUUAUCUGCGUGUCUGCUUCCCUUCUUAGAUUGUGAAACUGUUGAGGACAGAGAUGGAGAGAGCCCCUUACUCAUAUUUAUAAAUUUUCUGGCAUGAUGAAUAUUUGCCGAAGGAAUAAACUUGUAUUCUUAUUUUUAAGCAGGGUUUUCUCCCCAUCUGAGUAGAUGAUAGUCCAGGAGCAAAGAAAGUAGAAGUCUUUGAGCAAGUAGAAGUCGUCUCAAAAAUCUGGCCACAUUCUCAACCCACCCCACCCCUGCUUUUUUAAACAGCUAUUUAAUUGCCAUUGUAAUCCUAAGGAUUGGAUCAAUUCUUCACCUUCCUUCAUACAUUUUUCCUUUUAGUAAGAAAAUAAAGUAAUAAAGAGCCAAAUGGAGAAAGCUGUCCAUUAAAUAUGAAUUAAUAGGCGCUAUGAUCAGAAAUUGUGUAAAAGCAACAUAAUGGGGCUAUUAAACAGUAUUAUCUUUGAAUCAGACACCUUGGGUAUAUUUUAUAGCCCUGCUACUUUCUAGUCAUACAACAGCGAUCAAGCUGUAUUACUACUUUGGCUCAACAAAAUAGGGAUAAUCUCCAUUUAAUGGCUUAUGAUUCAUGUGAAAUAUUCACACAAACUACCACUGUGCCUGGUAAGUAAAAGACACUCAGAUAUUUCUUGGAGUUACAGUUAAUACUGUAUCCUUUAAAUCUGAGAAAAAACAACUUUUAAAAAUAACAUAUAUACAGUUGUUUACUGCUAGAAAUGGUAUUUAAUUAGUUGAUAACCUUGGUUAGAUAAUGAAAAACAAUGGUUUUUAUCUCAGUUAUCCUAAUGUGAUAGGGAAGAGUUACAGAGCUCAAAUGGCAAAAGAAUACCUGACCAUUAAGAUGCCUAGUUAGUUCCUGAACCCAAGAAGACAAGACUCUACUUUAUACUACUCUCCACAGUUAAAUCAUUGAUAUUUGCACCCUGCAGUGAAAACAGAACCAUUUAGAUGUUCACUGAUUGUAUUUUUCCUUAUGAAAGGUAGAAGGUUAGAGAAAAUUGUUCUCAAUACAAUUAAUACAAAUAAAGUUGGUUGAUGAUUAGGUGCUUUUUAAUUAAGCAAUAGGGGCAUAUGAAGCUUCAUUACCUAUGAGAAUUUUGUCAGAAUUAUUUCCCAGUUAACCAUGUUUUGAAGCAACCUCUCAGAAUUCCCCACUUCCAAUUUCUCCUCUUUCCAUUCUUACUGAUUUGACUCCAUACCUUUUUGCUAAAUAAACAUUUCUUCCAACUCUCAGUUUUGUGUUUUUUUUUUUUUCAUUUGAUCUGCUCUUGAAAGUGUAUCAGCUAGUGAUUGAAUUAGACUGUGGUGUAACAGAAUCCUGAGACAGUAGCUCAAACAAGAUGGGUUGGUGUUUCUUUGAUUUGUUUUGUUUUUUAACCCAAAGUCUUGCUGCCUUUUUCACAAAGACCAAGCUUUUUCAGAAACUCCCAGCUUACGUCUCAUUUGCCACAACUGCAUCACAUGGCUAUCUUCUAGCUGUAAGAGAUGCUGAGAAACAUUUUUUGUUUUUGUUUUUCUGGACACAUUGUCACUCUGAGCAAAUACAAAGUUUUAUUUGGAUCAUUGUACUAACAAUCCACCUUUUAUGGCAAUUUAAGUAGUCAUUUUUCAUAAUUGGAGGAUUUCCUGGAAGGGUAAAGAACUGUAUUGAUUACUUAUUGUGACUAACAUAAAUUAUCCUACCACCACCAUCCCAUAACUCUAAACUGUACAGAGAUGUCAUAGAAAACACAAGUGUGCACACAGCUAACCACAAAAGAAAGAGGAAAUCUCAGCUGCCAGAAGUGAAGAGGAAAUAAAGCCAGAAUAGUAAACUCAGCAGCUGAGGUAAACUGGCCUAGGGGGAUGAUGGUGUUGGCUGUGGCUCUCACCUAUGGACCCUAAGACUUUAACAGCCAGAGAUAUGGCCUGAUUAUAAAGGGAAGCUGGGACAAACCUCUGCACAAAGCCAAGACCCUAGAAGGUACUGCAGCCUCAGGAAAGAGGACGAGCAGAAUUCCAUACAGCAACCCACGGAAGCUACAAAGUGGUCUGAACCCAAGACUUUAGGGAAGAAAGAGAGGAAGGUUUCUGUGAGGAAGAGUUGAAGUUUACAUUUCAGUUUUGCUCUCAGAGUAUCAUUGCUUAGCUUUAAAAUGUCAGGCAUAUCAAGGUAGUGGCUUUAAUAAAACAAUGAAUAAGAUGUACAGAAGUAUGUGUUCUCUUGGGUCCUCUUUAAAGUCAUUAGGGAAAAGAAUUGACUGGCAUAUAUUCAGACACAUUUGAAGAAAUUACGUAUUUUUGGAGAUGGAGUCUUGAUUGCAUGGCUCACUGCAGCCUCAAUUUCCUGAGCUCAAGUGAUCCUCCCACCUAAGCCUCCCAAGUAGCUGGGAUCACAGGCAUGUAUCAUCAUGCCCAGCUAAUGUUUAAAUUUUUGUACAAAUGGAGUGUCACUAUGUUGCCGAAGCUGGUCUCAAACUCCUGGGCUCAAGUGAUCCUCCCAUCUUGGCCUCCAAAGUGUUAUGAUUACAGGCAUGAGCCACCAUGCCUGGCUUGAUGAAAAAUUUUAGAACAGAAGGAAUAAGCUAGGAUGCAGCACAGAAGAGAUAGAAAAAUGAAAGUAAUUCAUGGAAGAUCCAAUAUACAUAUAUAUUUUAGGAGUUUAGGGGAAAAUAGAAGGUGUAAGGCAAUUGUGAACUGACCUAAAAAUGUGUAGUAUACAACUCUUGGUAGAUAAAUGGUACCCACUGAAGUUUUUGAGGAUUGGGGAACAGGUGGCUUCCUUCUCUUAGACUCUUGCCACCAAAUUGCCCACUAACAGCUAUGUUAAAAUGAAAACAGUUUCACACCAACUUCUUAAUAUACGUGUAUCUAUAUGAACUGAGUAAGAAAACUGAUCUUACAGCGUGUUCUGCAGACUAAAGGAAAUUGCUGUCUGCCCAUUGAAGUGCUCUAACCACCAUCUUGCCUGAAAGAUUAAGAAGCAGGAUCCUAUUACCUUAUCAAAAGGUGUGUUCAUGGCUGGACAGAAACCUUUUACAGGGUUAGACUAGGACAUUAUUCCAAAAUAUAAGGGCUAUGGGUCAUGCUGGAUUCUUAAGGCCUCUUCUUGCAAUGCUGGGAUGUUACUCUGCUAUUAGUCAAUCUGAAAACCUUUAAUUUCACCAUUGGAGGCGCAUUUAAACAGCAGGCCGCUAAUAUCUCUAAUAAUUUCUACCAUUUAGUAUGAAAAUUAAAACAUUGUAUGUUGAUCAAGAUGCAGUCAACAGUACCUAGAAUAGCUUCCACAAGAGUAUGUGUUCUCUGAUUAAAACACUAGUUUAUCCUCCUGGACUGUUCUUUGUAUCAGAAUGGUAGCAAGAUUUAAGCAAUGACUACAUAAGUUACGUGUACCAGACAGUAUAUACUGGACUAUGUCCAUGUAAAUUACAGACAACAGUUACACUAGAAGCAAUAAAUAGCUAAGAAAUUGCCAUAGUUGACCAAAGACAUAUCAGGAAUAAUAUUUGUUUCUGGAAACAGAACCAAUGUUGCAGUGGCUUAAACUGUUGCACUUUUCCUUUCCUUUCAGAUGUAGGCUGUCCAGGUGUCCAGUACUGUGACUCCACAACAUCAGUAGAGCCCCAGGCUUUGUCUGUCCUCUAUGAUCCACUCUCGACUAUGUAGAAUGUGUCUUCAAGAUCAAAAAAUGGUGGCUGUAGUGCUCACAUUCCAGAUAAGGAAGAGUGGGCAAGAAACAAAAGAUCCACUCCAAAUGUGAUGGCAAAAUUAAGACUUGUGAGUGAAAACUGGAAAUUUGUCUUUGGUACAUACACACUGAAAGAAAUGUCGAAGAGAGUUCUUCAGGCAGAAGCAGGUGAUUCAAGUGAAAUCCUAGAAUGCAGGAAUAAAUGAAGAGCAAUGGAAAUGGUAAAUAUGUGGCUAAAUUUGAAGGAAUAUUGGAUAUAUUAAAUUCUGAGGUUUAAAAUACCUGUGGAAUUAAAACGCACCUGCAAUAACAAGAGGCAGGAGAAGUCUGUACUAGAGUUUGUCCUCAGGUUCUAGCAUUAGGUAGGUAAUCGGUAAAAUUACUUUCUUUAGACUAUGAAGACAAGCGUGCAUGUUGUAAUCUGUUAAAAGGCUAAUAGAAUGUAUACCUAACAAUUUAACGGAGGCAAAAAGUAUUUAAAAGAAGGCAAGAACAGAAAAGGGAACAUAAAACAGAUGGGUCAAAUUUAAAGUUGCAAAAUGUAAACCCAAACACUUUAGAUGAGUCAUUACUUGAAUUAAGGUUGAAAAUUUAUCAGGCUAAAAAUUUCCUACUACAUACUGCUUAUAAGAGGCAUAUUUAAAUAUAAGACCAUAGAAAAAGGUUGAAUGUAAAUGCAUGGGGGAAAAAUACAGUAAGCAAACCAAAUAAAAACAGUUUGUGGUAUUAUCAGGCAACGAGAUUUAAGGCAAAAAGCAUUCCUUUAUAAUGUUGAAGGAAUUAAUUCACCAAAACACAUAAUGAUCCUAAAUCUGUAUGUGUCGAAAACAUUUCAAAUCAUAAAGCAAGAAUGACAAAUAAGAUGAGAAAUAGGUAAGUCUCGAACCAUAGUUGAAGGGUUACACAGCUUUUUCAAUAGCUGAUAGAAUAUCCAGAACCUCCCACCCAAAAAACCAGAUGUAAAAAUAUCAACAUUUACAUAUAUUGAAUACUUGGUUUAAGAAACAUAAUUCACAUUUUCUUCAAGUAAAUAAUUUAUCCAAAUUUACUCUAUGCUGAGUCGUAAAGCAGACCAAUCUCAAAAGUUCAAAAGCAUUCAUCUUACAUUCUCUAACACAGUGGGAUUAAACUAGAAAACAACAGAGAUGAUUAGAGGAACCCCCUACUACUUUGAAAUUAUGUCAUAGAUUUCUUGAUAGUCCCUGGGUCAAAGAAUAAAACAAAUUUCAAAACAAUUUCAAGUGAAUAAUGUGACAUACCAAAACAUGUGAGUUGCAGCUAAGCAGUGCAUGAAGGAAAAUUUAUAGACUUACUUGCAUCCAUUAGAAAAGAAGCAAGGCUGAAAAUCAGUGACCUGAACUGUUUUCAAGAAGCUAGAAAAAUAAAAGCAAGGAAAUAAUAAAACACUAAAAAUAACACAUAAUAGAGAAAGCCAAAAUAUUGUUUCUUUGAAGUCUAAAAACAAUAAUCUCUACUGUUUAACAUAUUUGAGAUAUUAGCCAAUAAAAUAAGGCCUGAAGUAAAAAGAUACAAUGUUUAGAAAGCAGAAAUUAAUAGCAUUUAUAGACAACUGGUUGGGUGCAUAGAAAUUUCAAAAGACUCAACAAACAAAAUACUGAACUUAUCAAGGUCACCGAAUACAAACUAGACAGAAAUUGUAUUUCUAUAUAUCAGAAACAAAUAGAAAUUGAUAAAAAUUAUACCAUUCACACUAGCAUAAUGUAAGUACCUACAAUUUUUUUAAAUCAUUUAAGAAAUUUUAAAAAUUCUAAAUGUAUGGAUAUACUACAUUCAUUACUUGGUAGUUUUGUAAAUUAAUCUGUAACUUCAGUAUGUGAUAUUAUCAAAAUCCCAACAGUAUGCUGGAGAAAUUGACAAACUGAAGAAAUGCAAAGGACAGAGAAUCUCCAGGGUAAACUUGAACCACAAACCUGAAAAAGUUCACCAACAGACAUAAGACCUGUGAUUAUAAAAGUAUAGUUUUAAUUAAUACUGAUGUUGCCUGGCAUAAGACAGGCAAAUAGACUAAAGUAACAGAAUAGAUAGAAUUCUGUGUAUAUGGUGAUCCACACAUUUAGGUCAUCUGUGAUUUAUGAGAAAGGGAAACUAUUGCAGUGGUACAGUCAAUUAGAUAGCUGUGUUGGGGGGAAAACUAGACCCCUUUCUUGACACCAUAUAUACAGAAAAAUCAGUUCCACAUGGAAUAUGGUUUAAAUGAGAAAGGAAAUAAUAAAACAGAUAUCUUCAUACUUUGGGGUAGGCAACUAUUUAAAGACACAAAGCAUAAAGGAACAUUUUAAAGUAAUUUGUGGUGAUAGAAUCAGGGUAGAGGUUAUCACUUGCCUGGCAAAAUUGAUCAAUAAGAAAAAACAACUUAGCGGAACACAGUGGCUCAUGCCUGUAAUCGUAGCACUGGGAGGCUGAGGCAUGAGGAUAACUUAAGGCCGGGAGUUCAAGACUAGCCUGGACAACAUAGCGAGACCUUGUCUUUACAAAAAUUUUAAAAAUUAACUGGGUGCAGUGGCAUGCACUUGUCAUCCCAGUCACUUGGCAGGCUGGGGCAGGAGGAAUUUGAGCCCAGGAGUUCAAGGCUGCCGUGAGCUAUAAUUGUGUCAGCACACUCCAGCCUGGGCAACAGAGCGAGACCCUGCCUGUGUAAAUGUUUUUUUAAAAAAGACGACUUGGUAUCAGGAAAUAAAUAAGACAUGAAAGCAGAUGAAAUUAUUUGAUUCAGAAUGUUGUUUGUGUGGGUAAAUCUGAAAUUUUAGAUAUUUUUUGAUAUGUGUCACCAAAUAUAUAUUAAUAAAUAAGUCUGAAUCUCUUUUUUUAAAUUUACUCUGAAUAAUCCACAAGUUCUGGAUGGUUUGUUAAAUACAUUCAUUGUGACCAAGUAAGGAUUAUUUCCAUAUGGGAGAAUGAUUUAACAUUGGAAAAUCUUUUCACAUACUAUAUACUAUGUUAAUAGAGUAAAGAGAAAAGGCAUGUUGCUAUCGCAGUGAAUGCAGGGGGUUGGAGGAGAGAACCAGCAAAAUGUAAGUUAUAUUCACUUAAGAUUUUAAAAAUAAAACAUCCUCUUUAUAGAUGCAAAAACGUUAAUAGUACGACAAAUGAUAGUGUACCAAAACUCAUGGUUAAUGUUACAAGUUAAUGGUACAGCUUUAGAGAUGUUCUUUCAUGCGGCAAUAGUACAGAAAUGGGCUGUUGUAUUAAUACAUUCGUUCCAUGUUGCACUGGUCAUCUUGGCCAGUGCAGUGAGACUAGAAGAAGAAAUAAUAGGUGUAAGGAUUGGAAAGGAAGAAACAGUUAUUGUCAGUGGGCAAGAUCAUUGUUUAUUUGAAAGUCCAAGGAACACUACAAAGUAGUAUAACUAAUGUGAAAGUGGAGAGGUUUUGGAUAUAAGACCAAUCUGCAAUAAUUAGUGGUGUUCUUUUCCACUUCAAACAGUAUGUUUCAAAGUGUAUUAUUUGAAAAAAUUUCAUUCACAAUUAAAACUCUAAGGGACCUAAUAAUACAUCCAAUAAAAAUAUGCAAGCAUUUUGUAAAAGUAGACUGAAAUCAGUGGAGCAAUAUUAUAUGUUUGUGGAUGGGAAAAAUCAGUACAUUACAGCAUCAAUUCUCUCCAAAUCUAUAAAUUCACUGAAGUUCCAAUCAAAUUCUUAACAAAACUUUGUAUGGAAUUUAAUCAACCUAACCUAAAUGUAGAAAGACAAAGCUGAGAUUUUUUUUUUUUUAAAGGGAAAAUAAGGUUAGGGGAGUUCCUAUCAUAAAGGACAGUGGGGAAUAUAAAACUAUAGUGAUAACACAGCCCUUGUGAUGCAAGGAUAGACAUGUAAAUCUACAGUACAGAAACAGAUACAUGAGAACUUGAUAUGUGACAGAGUGGAGAAAUGAGUAACUUUUCAUUAAAUGGCAUUAAGACAAUUGCAUGUCCAUAUGUGAAAAAUACUAUAUACCCUUCUCACACCAUAUUUUAAAAAACUGGUAGAUUAAAGACCUAAAUGUGAGUGGGGGAAAUACCAUUUUAAAUAUUUUAGAAGGAAACACAGGAAAAUUUAAACCAACGUAAGGUUGAUUUGACUCAAAGUGGGAACCAUGAAGAAAACGAUUCCCACAUCUGACUAUAUUAAAACAAUGACAAAAGACUAAAUAUUAGAAGGCCAGCCACAGACUCGCAAAAGGUACUUACCUUUCAAUUACCUAGAGACCAGUAACUAACAAAGGAAGUGUCCAAAUUACAUAAAGGACUUCUUAAGGGGGUGGCAAUAAAUGAGCAAUAUAUGAGAGAGAACCAAAAGGUAAAUUAACAGGAAAACGUUUUCGCUCACUAGUAGUCAAGGAAAUGCCAGUCAGCACAGCCAGAUGCCAUUUCACAUGCAGUCAGAUAAUAGCAAUGAUUGGCAAACACGUUGAUAAAACAAUUCAUACUUUAGUAAAGUUGAAAUUAUACAUUGCUUAUAACAGCAGUUCAACAUCUGUCUUUUUCAAAACUAAAGUUUGCAUCAUAUUUAGGUAUAGAAAUUGUCAGAACCCUUAAAGCUUAUUGUAGGCAUUUGUUGGAGGGAGACAGAAGACUGAAUUGCUUUUUUCCAAAACUAGAAAUCACAUUAAUGUAAAACAGAGCCUUAGCUUUAGAGACGGAAAAGAAAAAAAAAAAACCCUACAGUAUUUUCUUAAAUUUAUCUACAUUUAAAGAUAUUAACAAAUGCACUUUGCGAACUACCAGUCUCCUAUAUUGGUCAUAUUUUGACAAGGCUUUUUUUUUUUUUAUAACAUUGACAUUCAUACAGAGGUUACAAUUCAGAUUAGGAGAACAUAUGUGUAAUAGAACAAUUUAACCAAAAAAGUUUCUUUCUCUUUAUGUGAAAUAGCAGAAAAGCAACAGCAGUUUAUUGUGUAUGAUAAAAUAUGUAUGAUACUCAAAUUGAAUAUUUCUUGAGACCUUUGCUUCAAUCUAUUAGUAUCUAAUACAGAAUUUUUAUAUUUAGUUCAAUAAAUCAUAAAUUCAGUUUUCUUAGACUGAAAAUUCUUAUCUAAAUAAUUUUGGGGUUCUAGUGAUUAGUUUUAGAGACUGAUUUCCUUUUAAUGAGAAUUACCUAUUUUAUAUAUGUCCAAUUUUACAUAUUUCUAAAAGAAGAUACCUCUGUCUUUGUUAAUAUGUGGUGUAUGUAUACAAUGAAAAAUGUACAAGGAUGUUUCGUACAACAGUUAUUGAAAUAGCAGGAAGAAAAAGAUAACUUAGAAGACAUUUGGCACUAGAGUCUUCAGUCAGAUCUACUCCCUGGCCCAUGAGCUAAGAAUAUUUUUGACAUGUGUAUAAAAGGAGUGACUUAAUAGAUUUGGCAUGUUGCAACCCUGCAUCUUUAAAAGAAAAGUCUAGCCCUCCAGAUCACCUGAGGUCAGGAGUUCAAGACCAGCCUGACCAACAUGGAGAAACCCUGUCUCUACUAAGAGUGCAAAAUUAGCCAGGCUUGGUGGCACAUGCCUGUAACCUCGGCUACUCAGGAGACUGAGGCAGGAGAAUCGCUUGAACCCAGGAGGCAGAGAUUGCAGUGAGCCAAAAUCAUGCCAUUGCACUCUAGCCUGGGCAACAAGAGUGAAACUCCAUCUCAAAAAAAAAAAAAAAAAAUGAAAGGUCUAGCCCUCAACUUACUCCUUACUCCUGGGAGAUCACAGCUACGCCCUUGGAAUACCCUAUAUGACAGAAGGCCUUUGUUUACCUGGGGCCUUGGAUCACACCAGAUAGUUGGUGCUACAGAUUUAUGGUGGGGGCAUUGCACCUUGAAGUAUCAAUUUAAUCUCUGGGGGAGAUGGAAACUGAAUAACAGCUGCCAUUUCCAUUUUCCAUGCCUUUGUGAUUAAUACCCAAUAAAAACCUUGGACACCAAGUCUCAGCUUCCCUUGUUGAUAUUUCAUAAAUGACCGACAUUCAAUCAGACAGGAUUAAAUGUUGUGAAUGCAUCUCCUGUCAGAUGGGACAACUGGAAGCUUGCCUCUGCUCUGGAACUCUUUUCUAUCUGCCUUUUAAAAUCUUAGCUGGUUUUAAACUGUACUUUUGUUCUAAUAAACUGCAAUUGUCAAC